GGGUAUUCCUGCGUAUGAAAACAUUGUAAUGGAGAAGGUCAUAGCCAAAAUAGGAUUCGUUUUGGCUAGAGCACCCAAAUCCGCUAUAUAUUUGACACGGGUUUGCCGUAAUGCUGGAACUAUGGCGAAUGCAUCUAUCGUCAUUGAUGCAUAAAUAAAUAUACCAAUUAGUAGUGAUUGAAUUCCUUCUAUGGUUCCACAUGAGAAACCAGUACGAAUAUAACCUACAUGUCCAAUCGAACUAUGAGCUAGAGGUCUUUUUACUUUCGUUUGGGCCAUGGCGGCCAGUGCUCCUAAGAUCAUAGAAGCAAUGUUGUAGAAAAAGAAGAUUUGUUGUAAUGUACCCCCAUAGGAAGCAAUAAUAGAAACACGUGACAUAUUUGCAGAAAUAGAGAUUUUAGGCGCAAUAGAAAGGAAUGCUGUCACCGGGGUGGGUGAACCCUCAUAGAUAUCAGGUGCCCACAUAUAUAGAGUCAAAAGAGAGAUUAAGUCCGAGGGAGAGUGGGGUUUUCUUGGGGCUCGAGAGAUUGAAUAGAUAGGGCCCCACAAGUUGGUUAAUUCGCCGCUGGGGAAUUCACACAGAAGGGAAGGACUUAUUCUCAACGAAAAAGUGCUCUCUGAACCGAACGUGAAAGUUGUUUUCCAUCAGACGGCUGUUCACGUAACUCCACUCUCGGCUUGGAUUAUAUAUCCAUUUGGUCCGCUCUCAGCCAUUCCACAUGCUGCCUAGCAGAGACGUGGUUAUCUGAAGUGGAUUCUCUCUUUUCUUUGGCUGUAGUCGGACAUUCCACUUUGUUAAGUUCUUUUCUUUUCUUUUGUAUUGUAGUAGAUGCCGAACCUGCUGCUCAGUGGGCGGGCGCAGCAGCUACAUGGACCCCUUUCUUUAUGUUGUUGCCAGCGCUUUCCCGGGCCGAGCCGGAAUUCUUUAUUAGAACGUCGGCAGGCAAAGCCCGAAGGAAGGCUGCUAUCCCCUCGGCCUUCUUCCUUUUCGAUGAAAAACAAAUCAAUCUCCGAAAGCGUUUUCCUUACCCUUCCCCCCCCCCCUUCGUCGAGCCUUUCCUUUAGUGGUAAGGGAUAUGCACCUUAUCUGAACGUCGGCAGGCAUUCCGGAAUUCUCCUUUUUGAGCCCCGGGUGAACAUAGGCUCAAACAUGAUUGGGGGGGUCCUAGCUACGCCAUGCGUUCAAUACAAAAAAAAGCCUCUGGGAAGCAGCAGAGAUUACAAAAAGAGGGUGCUUUCCUGUGUUGCACUGAAAAAAGGACAAAGGAGAAGACGCUCUUCGACUUUCUUUCUUCCUCCCGCGCCCGCCUAAGCCCGGCCCGCGUUAGAGGGGAAGAUUAGCAAAGCGGAAAAAGACAGAGGGAGGGGGAGCUGCAUCUUAUUCUCUUCGCGUUCAGGAUCGGAGAAGCAUUCGGAAGGGGCUAGGCCUUCAUUUCGUUGGCAGAAGCAGAAACGAUCCAAUCCAUUCGGGGAACCCAAAAACGAACUCUGUUUACUUUUUUCAUAGAUAGAUGAUAUAUAUAGGAAUAAUAUAUACAUCCCUUUACUGUAUAUGUCUAUGUAUCUUUUAAUCUCCCGAUUCUCUUUUUUUUUUAGUUCGCACUGCUCUUUCUCUCUAAAUUGCAUCAAAGAAAAUAGAGAGAGAGAGCAGAUGGAUCCUAUCCCCUAUAACGAACACUCAUUCCUAUCUAUUGAUAGAAAGAUCUUCGUCACGGACUUUGCCUUAGACUGACGGAACAAAGCUAAGAAGUAGGCUGAAUGGAAAAAGGAAAGGGACAAGGGCGGUCGUCGCUUGGCGCGAAGGCUGCUGGUUCGGUACGGUACUAAAGGUCCUCGGACUUCCAGGCGGUUUUUCUUUUGGGCUGCUGUGAACCCUUGGAUCUCGCCAAUACAGCCUCCUAUGGUUUUCGUUACCGAGAUAUCUUUUCUUUUUUCCCAGGGAUUUUUUGGGUAAUCAGCUCCCAUGCUGCAAACAGUCAAAUCUGAACCUUGCCGCUCUUCUUUCCUCGUGGGCAGGAAGCACACCAGCUGCGUGCGUUGCGUGAUUCCACUGUGUUUUUUGCACUUGACUGGGCGGACAGUUGACCGGAAGAUAACUUCGAUUCGCCCGGCCAGCAGGCGGGCGGCGUGCUUAUCUUGUGUGACAACACUACAGAGCGAGUAGCUCUUCUAGUCGGGCAGCUGUGUGACAACACUCCAGAGAAAGCGGCGCUUUUGUGUAACAUGCUAUGGUCUCAACGCCCUUACGAGGUAGUGAUGAGUUUCACGCGCUCUAAGCCCGGCCCGCGCGCAGUUAGGAGGAUUGGCCGCUAUCUGAGCGGUACCACCCAUCCUACCCUACUACCUAUAGGGGGCCGUCCGUCCUACAGCCGCCCGAAAAGGAACUGCAGUAAUCUUGAAUAGGGAUCCUACAGCGAUAAAAAGAAUCCCCAUAAAAAUACCACUAGAUCGAGCACCAGUGAUUUCGUAUCCGGUCAAAAUCUUGGCUAAUUGAUCGAAGUGGGUAGCUCCAGUAGACCCAUAGAUCAUGGAACAAAUAGGGUGGGUAGGCCCAACCACCACACUACACGUAUAGACGCGAACCCCCCUCCUUACCGUACGUGCGACUCUCACCGCAUACGGCUCGCACAAAGACUCAAAAAUCCAUCCCGAGCUUUUUAUUCCACCUCUCCUCUCCAAUCCUCGAUCAAACCUCUACUUCAAUGAACCACGUCGCGUUCUUUAUCUUUCUCACUCGUCGUUUCGUUGGUCUUUUAUUGGUCAUUGAUUGUUUAGUCUCGUGGAAGCAACCGAUGCUUUGGUCAUUCGACUCCUUGAUGCCAGUCUGUGCUUGCUGUCCUGCUAGCAAAAGUGGGGGUUUUGGCCGGUUUUACCUACUAUUGGAUUUGAACCAAUGACUCUCGCCGUAUGAAAGCGAUACUCUAACUACUGAGUCAAGUAGGUCAAGCUGAGUCAAGUCAGAGAAAAUCGAAAAAAAGAGAAAGCCAACCAAAGCGCAACCAGAGUUCCCCGCGGGGUGGAGCGCUAAGAAAGAGAAAGCGUUAUCGCUAUACGAAAUGAAGCAGCGGCUAGCACGCUAAGAUAAACCACUUGGUUUAGGCUCCUGCUUAGUGGCGUGUGAUUUCAACACUAUUGCAGAGGUAUAUGACAAAAAUGGUGGGAGAGACCUCUAUGUUCCUCAGCUUAAAUCAUUCUAAGAUUGUUAACAAUUCUGUCAUCUAUUUGACAUGAGGGCUAGAGGGUGGUCUUCGAGCAAGAAAAGUGUUGAGUCCAGGCGCAUUAUGGUACGAUUGAGAUUGAGUUGGGCAGUAGCAAGCGGUUGGAUUGGCCUGACUCUUCAAGACCAAAGAUACUUGGCUUCCUCUUCAUCAAGUCACGAAAUUCGACCCAAAGAUUAGUUAGCUGCACCAAAACUAGAGUAGGGCCAAGCAAAGCCUAGGAUGAAUCUCUCUUUUAGUCUAGCUUCCACUUAUACUGAAGCUUCCACUCCCAUAUGGGCAAGAAGAGCUCCUUCUCUUUUUGCCAAAGCAAAGACUCGCCUUUCUUCUUUUCUGGCGGGAUAUGAAGACGGAAGCAUGAGGACUAAGAUGAAUAGCCCAUCCUUUAGUGAGCUGCUGAAAGACGUGUUGUUAGCCAACGCGAGUCAUCAGUAUGCAUGGAAUAGGGUAGGUUAGCAUAUAUAAAGGACAUGAGAUUGAAGCAAGAAAAUCUCUUCCUUCCCCUUCCUAUGCAAGCCUGAUUAGCUAAUGGAGACAGAACAGAGUCAUUUUCCCUAUAGAGCGAUAGACAGAACCAAGGUGAAUCUCUCUGUUAGGCACGAUGACUACGUCAUGUUUUCUUUUGCUGGAAAGCAUCCACUCGGCCUUCUUCCCCAGUCUACCACUGAUGGCAGACUAAUCCCUCAAUAUGAAAACAAUAUCGAAGCGAGGACAGAGUCUUUGAUCUCUGUUUUCGAACCUUUUGCUCAACCUUGAAAGGCUUUGACCAUUCCCAAGAAAAAAAAGCAAAAUCUAUCAUCCAAUUUGAUCUCUAAGAUAGACAAAGUCUGGUUCACCAAAGAGUUUUAUCCUAUGUCACUGCCUCGUCAACCUGACUUCCAUCUCCUGACAUCGGUACUUGUUUUCUAGUUUGCCCAGGAAAAGUGGAAUUUAAACCUGCCGCACGCAUUCAAUAGUAUGUGCAGCUGCUGGUCUUUCACUUGGAAUGGAACAGGUAUAUCUCUUUGGCCCGGGGAAUCCCAAACAAAAUGUCAUCGGCGUAUCGCGCAUAGUAGAUCCUGAGUGACCAUUAGCAGCCAGCCAGUGCCAUACCAACUUUGCCUCACCAGCCAGCGAGCGUAAGAAUGGAGCGAGCGAGCCUGCAACUAUGUAGCGAGCCUAUUUUAAACGAUGUCAGACAUUGCAAUGAAAAAAAAACUUUCCUGUCUGUGUUAUAGCUAGGACUUGGAUGUUCCGGAAUCCUCUUGCCGAGCUAGAACGACCCAUCUCCUAUUUCUACUUCCAACGCCUACACGUUGAGUCUCAGUUACUCGAGAAAGACUUAUUCAUAGUGGAGAUAGUCAACCUCCACCAGCAAGCAGCACCAGAGUGAAUCCUUUCGAUCUUUUUUGAGAGGGAAAAUGAUAAUGAAAAAGGAGAAAAAAACGCUGAGAGACACAUUGCAAAAACAAUCGCUUAUUUCAAUGUUGUAAACUAGUGAGUGGUAGAGGAGUUAUGUGGUCAGUAAACCUCAUCCUAAUAGGGACACCUUGAUUAGUGAGGUCAAGAAUAGGUUUCUGUGCAUCCAAAUCUGUAACCCAGUUGAUGAAUUAAGAAAAUGACAUCAGGUUGGAUCUGUAAGGGAGUAUAUGAGCCAGUUUGAAAAAGUAAAGGCCGGACUGGACUGAUCUUGGAAAACUCUAAUCUAACUGAGAAGUUUUUCUUUUCCUCUUUCCUAAGUGGUUUAAAGGAGGAAGUGAAGUAUAUGGUCACUGUUCAACACCCUACCCUAAUAUUGUGAACAAGGCUUAUGAACAUGUUAUGCACUAUGAGUUAGCACUUGAGUCAGCCAGUAAGAAAUCUAGAGUGGUACCUAGGUGCAAAAUUCUGAAAGAGAGAGCACGGCUCACUUCAAACUACCGCUUUCUUUCUACUUAUGAGAUUUGCACUAGAAAGACAAAAGUGGAAAGAGACAGAGAGGAGACUAGUAAAGCCAAUUUCACCUAAAAAGCGGAAAAUGACACUAACUUCUACUGUGGGCAAGUCAUCAUUUCUAGAAUGGAUUCAGUCGUAGAAUGCUGAAGUAGAGCAGUACUAUUGGGGACUUGUUCUCAAAUGCUUCGGAUUGAUGAAAAGUAAAGGUACAUGCGUGAUGCAAAAAGCGAAUGCCAAGUCAGCGUGAACAGUACGAGAGUACUGUUCAUCUAUUUAUAGGCACGGGUCGCAGCCCGUGUAAAAUUACAUUAAUGCCCUUUACAUUUAUCAAUAACUCUAUAGUAAUUCUUCAGGGUCUAAUUUGGCUUUUCAUCUUUAAGUCGGUUCCCCUUUUCUGUUGUCAUGUCGAAGCUUAUCUGCGCAUAGCUUCGUGAUCAUCUCAUCCUUCGUCACAAUUGCCUUCCGUCCCACUCAAGCUUCGUCUUGACCAUACUCUUGUAUACCCGUAACCCGAUUCCGAAGACACCUGUUCACAUAUUUCACUUGGAAAACAUUGUCAAAUCAUGUUUUUGAGGACCUUCGGAAGCCGAAGGCCCCCAACAGUAGCCCCUCGCAAUAUUAAUUUGCUGGAAUGAUAAAUUCAUAUUGCGACAUGGACGAAGGCUUUAAGCCGAAGGUCCGAAAAAACACCUUCCUUUUGCUAGAAUAGCAACAGUCUUUGACAAGCGGGACCCUCCAGUUUUCAACGCACUGGGUGUAUAAAUAAGAGCUCACCACGAGUUUAUUUGGCACACUUUCUUGCCAUCUGCUCUUGCUCACCCAACUUUUAGCCUGUGCGCAACAACACUUGCUUGGCUUUUUAAAUUUUUAAGCUUCGGUUUCGAGAGCACUUUCUCAGCGUUUGCGAAGAUGUCUGAAGAUAAGAAAACUGUUGCUGAAUCGAAGCUGAGCCUUUCUGAGGAGAUGCAUCUCGGCUUUCUUCAGUCAAUAGCAAAGACCAAUACAGAGAAGAUCACUAGGGAGACCCUGGAGGGCUUAUCUGAAGACACUGGUGACAGUGAUAGCUAUGAUGUAGAAAGUGGGGGUGAAGAUUCCGAAGAUCGACCGUGGCGACCAAGUCACACAGUCUUCGGAAAUUCGAGCAUUAAACAGAGUCAACUUGAUACCAUGAGGGGAAGGUAUUUUCGAGACAUGUCUAUUGUCAGGGCAGAUGACGGGGAGAAGACUGUGCCUACUCCUGAAGAGAAUGAAGUCGUAAUCUUCCGAAGCUUCCUGAAGGCUGGAUGGCGGUUUCCCUUGAGCAGUUUUGUCGUGGAAGUACUGAAGACAUUUGAAGUCUACCUUCAUCAACUUACUCCCGAAUCAAUCAUAAGAAUGGGCAUCUUCGUCUGGGCCGUAAGGAGCCAAGGUUUAGAACCAAAUGCAAAAAGUUUCUGCAACAUACAUGAGCUAUUGUAUGAGACAAAACCAUGGGGUAAAGAGCAGUAUCACAACAAUUUUGGCUGCUACAGCUUCGACGCUCGGUCCGGGUCAAGCUCUCCCGUGCCAACCUUUCGAAAGAGGUGGCCCGACGACUGGAUGACGGAAUGGUUUUAUGUGAAGAAUGACUUGAAAUCACGGGAAGAUAUUAAAGGUAUCAUUACGCGCCCCAUCUGGCAGCGCUUCGGCCUCCGGAGGCCGAAGGUGGAAAUGAAUGAAGCAGCCGAAGAAUGCCAGAGAGCCUUCGGCGUGGUUUGCUCUUUUAUUGGGACAAGGGAUUUGGUCCAAGAACAUAUUGCGUUCAGAGUAUGGCCACUUGUGGAAAAGUGGGAAAUGCCGAAGGAGACCAUUAAAGAAACCGACGAAGGUGGAUUAGUUAAGCUAAAAUACACAUUCCAAUAUGGGGAUAAAUUCGUCGAGCCAGAUGACGACUGGCUAAAAAGCAUUGAGACCGUAAGUGAUGAAUUGCUUGGGGUAUACUCAAAGGCCGAAGAUACUGCAUUAUCAGUGGCCUUCGGAGGCCGAAAGAAGAAGAGGCUCAACCGAGUAUUUGAUGCAAUUGGGUUUGUCUACCCCGACUACCGUUAUCCAGCGCGGGGUCAAAAAAGAAAGAAUACAUCUUCUGCGAAGGAAACUGCUUCAGCCGCUCCUAGCGAGCCGACGCCGAAGAGGAAAAGGGUAAAGGUUCUCACACACCGGCCACGUUAUAUUGAACCGGCCACAGUGCCUGAGUUUGUCGGUGAGACCUCUUCGGCCACCGAAGCUAAAGAACCAACUCCGCUGCCAAAAAUCGAAGAGCUGGCCGAAGUGCCAACAACAGAAAAGAUAGAAGAACCGAGGACUGAAGAAACAAAAACAUCAGAAGUUUUAAGUCCUUCAGCAAAAAUUGAGGCAGUAAAAAGCCAAAAGGGUCCCGCAGUGACCCCGAAAAGAAAAAGGAUGGUUAAUGUGCUGGAUGUUUUGGAGACAAUUAAGUCUUCAAGCACAACUCCAAAGAAAACUGUUAAAACUUCUGAAGUGCAUACUGAAGCCUUUGUUGCCGAAGCUUCAAAGCAACAAUCUGAAACUGAAGCUGGGCCUUCAGAGCCCACCAAGGUAAAACCCUUGGAAGCCGAAGAAACAAAAAUGGCAGAGCCAACUUUGGUUGAAGAAACUGACACUGCUGCCCCCGAAGCAUCCUCCAAAGCCCUCGAUUAUAUUGUACGACAUGCUUCGGGAAAAAGAUUAUCUGAAGAAGAGAUUUUUGAAGCUAAUCACUAUGCCCGAGAAUUGAAGUAUCCAAAGGGGGCCUUAGUAUUCAAUGGCACAGACGAAGAUGACUUCUUAUACUGCCUCCCAGACAACAAAGAAUUAUUUGUUUGCUGGGAGAUGGCUAGAAGUAUGGGGUUCCCGAAGCUUGAAGCUGGCCUCUGCGCUAUGACAAAGGACGAUCUUGCAGAUAGCCUUGCAUAUAAUAGUCUGAAGGUAUGAAAAUUGUAUAUUUGGAAAUUUAUAAUUUUUGAAUUAUUCUUUUAUUCUUAUACUAAUUCUUUUCAUAUAGGGUUUAAUACUUAGCAACGCUUUGAGAGCGCAAAAGAAUGCUGAAGACGAGAGCUAUAAUAUUGCUUUCAACAACCUACGAACAGAGGUUAUUAAGCUAAGGAACGAAGCUUUGGAAAAAGAUAAAAUUCUGCUUACAUUGGUGGAUAAGAUAAAGGAAGCCGAAGCUACUUCUAAAGCUCAAGCUGAGGCUCAGAAGCGCGAAAUUGAAGAUCUUCGGAAACAGUUAGCCAGAGCUAAAGAAGAACGCAUACUUGAAGAGACGAAACGAGAACUUAGCGAUCAGUGGGCAAAUCAUUUAGAAGGAAACGUUGAAGAGCUUCGAGCAUCCAAGAAAAGGUGCUAUGACAAAUCUAUAGAAUGCGCUAAGAAAAUAAAAACUAGCUUCGCCAGCGUUGGCGCAUUCUCGAGCGAGGAAAACUUCACAAGGGGUAACCCCGAAGGCCCGAUUGAAUGGAUCAGUUAUGAAGCUGAGGCCUUUGAGGAAAUUUUGAAUAGCCGCGGAGACAUAUGUGCCUUUUCGGGUGCCAGGGGGAUUGCUACUAUUUUGAAGAGGAAAGGCUAUGAUCAUGUGAAAUCUUUAGCACAAUCCGAAACUGCCUUAUCCUCCGAAGAUAUAAAAGACCCCUCGGCCGAAGCAAGCCUGGUCGGUGGAAAAUUUUUCACCGACAUCUGGGACAAUGGCGGCCGGGAAAUGGCCCAAGAAAUUAUUCAAAAAAGCGAAAAAGGCAUCCAUGAUGCUAGAAAAGUAGCAGAGGCCGCUGAGAAAAGCGCAGAGCCCGAAGGGCAAAUAGGUAUUAACUAGUGGUUUUUGGCUCUUUGUUGUAAUUAUGUGAUUUCGAACUCCUUCACGGUUUGUAAUAGUAAUAAAUCCAUAUCUACUCUUCCCUCAGAACCUGCUGAGCCAUCUCUGGGCCCCCACACGAAGGGGGAUGACAAAAUUAGACAAAUGGCCGAAGCUAUCAUGGAUAAAGUUGUUGAUCAGCUUUUAAACGAAGCUGCAGAAGUAGUCCUAAGGGAAGAUUAGAUGAUGUUGUAAAAACAUUUAGAAUGUAAUGUUUGUUGAGAAUCAUGUGUAAUAUUGUGUAACUUUAGAUGUAAUAUAUUAGCUGUUUAUAGUUCUAUUCUUUACGAAGCAUGAAACAUCAUAUACAUACCGUUUUUGAGCCUUCGGCGAAAAAAACCUUCCCUUCUUUUCAUGCUUCGUAAAUAAUAUCCGUGUUCUCAUAAAAUCAGUAACCAAUCCUCGUGAAAUCAAUAAUCAAUAGAUCUUUCCAUUUCAGAGUUUGACGAAGAUAUAAUUCUUCAAUGGCUAUUAUUUGUGCCGUGUCACUAUUUCUUCAAAACGAUCUUCGAAUAUCAAUAUUGAGACCCCCAUUCUUGCGUUGUUGAUGCACUAUGAUGUAUGAUGUUAUGCUAUGCAAAUGAUGUAAUGAUGUGAUGUUAUGCAAAAUGAUAUUUGCCGAAGGUCGACAUUUGUUUUUCACUGUAAGCCUCCCUUAGGAGCUUCUUCGCCUUUUACUUCAGCGGAAUCAGCGUUUAUUUUUCGCUGUAAGCCUCCCUUAGGAGCUUCUUCGCCUUUUACUUCAGCGGAAUCAGCGUUUAUUUUUCACUGUAAGCCUCCCUUAGGAGCUUCUUCGUCUUUUACUUUCAGCGGAAUCAGCGUUUAUUUUUCGCUGUAAGCCUCCCUUAGGAGCUUCUUCGCCUUUUUCUUCAGCGGAAUCAGCGUUUAUUUUUCGUUGUAAGCUCUGCAUUCCCUUCGGAACGACUUUUGAGCAGAAAACUUACACUGCGCUCCCUUAGGAACGACUUUCUGCUACUUCGAAGAAAUUGUACUGCGUUCCUUAGAACAAAUUUUUGAUAAAUCGAAGGUCCUCCUUGCCACCGUAAAUUCUUAUGCUUCGGCAACUUAAGCCUAUGGAGAAGAUAUAUUUUCAUUAUGGUAAAAAGCGAAACUGUUACAAGAGAUUAAACUUCCUAUAAUUGUUCCUUAUUAAAAAAGAAAGUAAGACUGAAAUGCGAAAAUGCGAAAAGCUGCUGUCGAGGUAGGAUAUUUGUCAGUAAAUAUGCUUCGACUCUGGCACAGUGCUAUUGACUGUGCGAGCUUCGGACUCCUCUCUGAAGUCCCGCUGAAGGUGAGUGUGCUGACUCCCUUCUGGCUGCUGACCUCGUUGCGUUGGUGGUGGCGGUGGAGGCUGUUGCCAAGAUGCUUGGGGUUGACUUGCCGAAGCAACAGAAGCUGCAGGGUGAUUGCCUACAUAUUCUGGAAUGUAAGGCGAAUGGUACGAAGCAGUAUGCAUGACUUGCUUCGGCUGACUCUGUUGCGCUGCAGCUUCUGCUAUCUCCUUUUGCUUCUGGAUGGUAACAUGGCACAUCCUGGUGGUAUGGCUCUUGUCUUCACCACAGAAUAGGCAGUAAAUUUUUCUUAGCUGAUCCCCAAAUCUUCCCCUGAAGCCCCUGGCGCCUCUGCCCCUUGGCGCUGGCGGCCGGAAAGAGCUUUGCUGCUGCCCCGAAGGUUGCGAGGAAUAUUGUGGCCUUUGCUGUUGACUUCCUCUAUCAUCACUUUGAGUAGAGUUGUGAAUUGACCUGACGUGCCUCGGAUGGAAUCUUCCUCCGAAGCCCCUGGUCAUUUCAGAGAACCUGAAUGCUUCCUCCCUUCUUUGGCGAAAAUCAUUGUCAGCUCGAAUAUACUCGUCCAUCUUCUGGAGUAGCUUCUCCAAAGUUUGAGGAGGCUUCCUGGCAAAGUAUUGCGCUGAAGGUCCCGGCCGAAGUCCCUUAAUCAUGGCCUCAAUGACAAUUUCAUUGGGCACUGUUGGUGCAUGUGCCCUCAGACACAGGAACCUUCGGACAUACGCCUGAAGGUAUUCUUCGUGAUCCUGGGUGCACUUGAAUAGAGCUUGAGCAGUGACCGGCUUCGUCUGAAACCCUUGGAAGCUGGUUAUCAACAUGUCCUUCAGCUUUUGCCAUGAGGUGAUUGUUCCUGGCCGAAGAGAGGAGUACCAGGUUUGUGCAACACUCUUGACAGCCAUGACGAAAGACUUUGCCAUGACUGCAGUAUUGCCACCAUACGAAGAUAUGGUUGCUUCAUAGCUCAUCAAGAAUUGCUUCGGGUCUGAAUGACCGUCGUACAUGGGGAGCUGGGGUGGCUUGUAAGACUGGGGCCAUGGUGUAGCCUGCAGUUCUGUUGACAGAGGAGAAGCAUCAUCAAAAGCAAAAUUUCCAUGAUGGAAAUCUUCAUACAAGUCGUCCUCAUUGUAGAAGCCCUCCUGAUGAAGCUCUCUGCGCGGAGGCCUUCGGUUCUAGUCAUCUUGAGCAAGAUGACGAACUUCUUCCGAAGCUUCAUCUAUCUGCCUCUGUAGGUCAGCUAGACGAGCCAUCUUUUCUUUCUUUCGUUGAACCUGUUGAUGGAGCAUCUCCAAGUUUUGGAUUUCUUGAUCCAAGUCGUCCUCCGGAGGCGUUGGACUGGCGGCCUUCCUCUUCUGGCUUCGGGCCUCCCUAAGAGAAAGGACAUCCUGAUUGGGAUCCAGCGGCUGCAGGGUGGCAGCCCCUAUGGCUGAAGCUUUCUUCGGCGGCAUGACGAAGGUGAUGCUUGCCGAAGGUGUUCAAAACUCAAAAAAUGGACGUGAGUUCACCGGAGGUGGGCGCCAAUGUUGGGGACUUGUUCUCAAAUGCUUCUGAUUGAUGAAAAGUAAAGGUACAGGCGUGAUGCGAAAAGCGAAUGCCAAGUCAGCGUGAACGGUACGGGAGUACUGUUCAUCUAUUUAUAGGCACGGGACGUAGCCCGUGUAAAAUUACAUUAAUGCCCUUUACAUUUAUCAAUAACUCUAUAGUAAUUCUUCAGGGUCUAAUUUGGCUUUUCAUCUUUAAGUCGGUUCCCCUUUUCUGUUGUCAUGCCGAAGCUUAUCUGCCUUCCGUCCCACUCAAGCUUCGUCUUGACCAUACUCUUGUAUACCCGUAACCCGAUUCCGAAGACACCUGUUCACAUAUUUCACUUGGAAAACAUUGUCAAAUCAUGUUUUUGAGGACCUUCGGAAGCCGAAGGCCCCCAACAAGUACCAAGGUUCGGUUUUGGGACAGACAGAAAGUUGGAUAAGAGGGUCGUUCUUAGCCCCAGCUACGAGAGAAUAAUAUGCAUCUUCCGUCAUUUCAUUAGACGUUCUUGUUGGAUUUGAACGCGCAUCGGAUUACUUACCUUCUACAACCUUCUCUCUUUGAAUUCAUCUCUCAAAAUAGAAAAGCUUCUUUCUUCUGGAUUCAGUGUUCAGAUUAGCUUCCUUCUAAAAGCAAGUAUACCGAGCGUUCAUUCGAUGACAUCUAGGUCCUAAAUCCAAAACCUUAAACACUAGAUCACCGGCAUACCUAGCGUAAAAGAAGAGUUGCUGCCCAUUUGCAUGUUCCAUUGCUUUUUCAAGAGCUAGGUCUAAUGGAAAAAAUUCAUUAGUAAUGGUGAAAAGGGCCCCCUCACACUCAUCUGCCUUUCCCUUCUUCUACCCGCACCGCAAUCAAUGUUUAGAAAUUUUCCCGGCUCCCACUUUUCCACUUCUUCAGUCGGCUCACUCAUUUUUCCCCUUCUGCUUGGCUUCGGGGGUCUAACGGUUUACCUUUUCGCCAUCUCUUGGUUCGUCCCAUGGAUCCUCUUAUAUCACCUCUUCCUUCUCAACUGCUGCCACAUGCCCCUUCUUCCCCUUCAGAGACAUCAAAUAACAUUCCCUCGCCAUUUUAUGGUGACCGGACUCUACUCCCACUCCUGCUUCCGUUGGGAUCAAUUUCAUCAUCAGAUGGGAUGUAGAUACUACCGCCCCUAUCGCAUUCAACGUUCCUCGUCCCAGAAUCGCAUUAUACGCCGAAGGAGCGUCAACUACCAGAAAGUCUAUCAUUGCCGAAGACCGGGCCGAACUCGACCCUUAGGGGAAUUUUGCCUAACGGUUGCAGAGUAUCUCCAGUGAAUCCCACUAGGGGUGUUCGUACCUGACCUAGAUGACGCAGCUCUAGGUUCAUUUGAUCGAAUGCUCGUUUGUAUAAUAUAUCCGCCGAACUCCCUGUAUCAACCAAAACACGUUUGACUCUGUUUCCUCCUAUUUUCAGGACAAGAACUAUCGCAUCAUCAUGAGGUCGCUGUAUGCCCUCAGAAUCUUGAUCCGAAAAGCUGAUCACGCUACCUUCCCUUGGCCUUUUCUUGUCGACCUGAAGGAUGAUCGGGAACUUCAUUUUGGUGCUAUACUGUCGCCGUCCUUUGUUCGUGUCCCCUCCCGACGCUAUCCCCCAGCGAUUACGUGAAUUAUAGGGGGGCUCUAUGGAUAUUGUUCGUCUCCUUUCCUUCCCUUACCUUAUUAUUCGGCCUACCUUGUCCCGGGGUCCCUAUUUCCACUGCGGGGGUCCUUCAGGCCUCUUUCAUCCAGCCUUCCUGUUCCCUUGCCAUUCACAUACUUUUUUAUGAACUGAUAUAACUUCCCCAGCCGGGCUCUUCUUUCGAGCUCAUCUUUGAGUUGCAAGCACUCUAUUUGGGUUGGGUGUGACCCGGACUUUCUUUAUAUUCACAAUACUUGCUCGCUUCUCUUAUUUCAUGCACUUCCAACGGCCUCGGUCGUCGAAGAUCAAAGUCGCUUCUAUGCUGAAUUCUUCUCCAAAUUGAAUCCCGGUUGAAUUCGGUGUAUGCGGGAAAUCGUCGCCGAUACUCUGUGGGGCUAUCCGGUUUGCUCGCUCCGCCCUUUCACUUACUUCGAAGGGGAUCGCAGACUACUUUCUUUGGGGCUAUGCUAACUCAUAGCAGCACCUAUCACUAGAAACUCUUUCAUUCCUCACUAGCAGUUCUUUGGAACUAGUUCCGUAGUACCUGUAAGAGCAGAACACUUCCCUCCACUCAUACUCUUUACCUGUGGGGCUGUAUGGUACUUUAGCUGGACUUUACACCAGCUCUAUUCACUGAUAGCGUUACUGGCUCUUUUCCAGCAUUUCUGGAAAGCAGCUCGCACUCACCGCUGCGCGCCUAGUUAGGCUUAAAAAUAAUAGGAACAAAGAUCUUCCGCAAUCAAUGUUGUACUCAAAUCCUCUCUGGCCGGAGAGGGGGAUCUCUUAAGCAGAGUAUUCCGAGUCUAGGGCUAGUGGAAGCGUUGAAGAGGGAUAUCGUUUUCAAAGAAGGCAUGGGGCCCUUUCGUCUUUGUAGAGACUUUCACAAUAUACCAAGUGGAUAAUACCAUCCAAGAGAGAAGGUGUUGGGGACUUGUUCUCAAAUGCUAUGAAUCAAGAACAAGGCAACAUAAAAUGUUAAAUGUUAAUGCCCUUCGUCCAACGAAGCAUUAUUCCCUUAAGGAUUAAUGAACUUUGGACGAAGGUUAAAGACAAUAUGAUUACGAAGGUUAAAUCUUCCUAAUUGAAUUCUAAUAGAUUGAAUAAAGUAAUAUAAAAUAUGAAGCGUCAAAGGUGAAUAAAUUAUAAACGAACAACAUUACUUUAAUAUUAUAUCUAUUUAAUAUAUUUAAGCAUUGGGUACAGUAAUACCUCUGCCUCGGCAAAAGGUUGAUUCCCGAAUGAUGCGAUCACUAUUACUGGAAUGCGUGAACAGUAAAGGAAUACUGUUCACUAUUUAUAGGCACAGGACACAGCCUGUGAGGAAUUACAAUCAUGCCCCUCAUAAGGGAUUACAACAGCGACUCAAACAUCUAUGGACUAAAAGGUCAUUCUACUUUUAUGUCGGUUUGUAAUUCCGAAGCUUCAUGAAGAGGAACCUUCGGUCAUCACAUGCGGACAGCUUCAGCCGAAGCUGUUUCUUCCUACCAGACCUUCGGCGACGAAGCAUAGUCCCAACAGUAGCCCCUUCGCGGUGCUAGAUCAUUUUUCGUAACGAGCUUGAUCCGUGAAAAAAGUAUCUUAGGCUUCAGGAAGCCGAAGGUCCAAAAAACACCUUCCCUGAGCUCGUUGUCGAGAAACGAUUCAGUUUCCGAGCGCGUAACGGUCCCACCUUGCAGAGUUACUAUUUGGUCUCUGCGGUCCACCGCGCAGCGGGUGCGAGCAGCUGUUCGCCUGGUGUAAAAAUCCUGGCGAUUCACCUUCUUACCUGCAUCACUAUAUAAACAGACGGGUAGGUGUGAAGUUACCACAGCAUUCAUUGCUAUUUGCACUGUUUUGCUACCAAAAUUUUUAACCAUAGCCGAAGCUUGACUCUCGAAACCAAACGAAGCUCCAGCUUGAAGCCUACUUCGUCAGAAGAAGAAAAACUUCGGAAGAAAAGUAUUUAAUUCCCAAAAAAUCCAGAAUUAAAUGGCUAGAGUGCGCUCUACCGCUAGGGUUGAGCGUGAGGGAGGCGAAGCUGAAGGAUCGGAGACUGUUCCCAUCUCCGAAGCGAUGCAACGAUCCAGACUGGUAAUCCCGGAAGAAAUCCCCACUGCUGAAACAGAACAGGCAACUGCCGAAGCGGAAGAGGGAGACAUUGAGGAAACUGAUUCCGAAGAUGAUUAUCAUAUUGCCAUGCCCAGUAAGCCCAGCCACUUGGACUUCGGAAAGUCGACUGUCUCUAAGGCUGAUCUCUCCAUGAUGGUGAAGUCGGGUUAUUUCAGUGAGAGUCAGAAGAAGCUACUUCGCUUCGGUGGGGGAAGAAACUACUCUGAAGCCAGAGAAGGAUGAAAUAGUCAUUUUCAAAAGCUUUCUAAAGGCUGGGUUGAGAUUCCCCCUUCAUGGGAUUAUUGCAGAUGUAUUGAAGAAGUUUGGGAUGUACUUUCAUCAGCUGACUCCUAACGCUAUCGUUAGGCUUAGUGUUUAUAUCUGGGCCCUCCGAAGCCAAGCGGUGGAGCCAUUUGCCGACAGCUUUUGUCGAGUUCAUGAGCUGCACUACCAGACGAAGGCUAGAAAAGAUGGAUUGCAUGAUAACUUUGGUUGCUAUAAUUUUGCUUAUCGAAAAACCACAAAAUUUCCUGUAAUCAGCUACCGAAGCAAAUGGCCGGCAGGCUGGAAGUCGGAAUGGUUUUAUGUGAAAGUUGACGAAGACAAAGAGAAGCUGGUUCAAAGCCCUCUUGAAUUGAUCUUCGGAGAAACAAGACCGCGAUGCCAAAUGUCAUUAGAAGGUCCCACUUGGGCUGCACUGGCUGAGUUUAAAAUUAUUUCAGAGCAUAUCGGCACAAGAGACCUGGUUCAAGAGUUUUUGGCCUUCAGGGUUUUUCCUACUUUAAAAGAAUGCUAAAUGCCGAAGCUAGAGGGGGAGAAGAAAGAAGGGGAACUUGUGCGGUUACCUUACUAUUAAAAUCUAAGAAAUACUUUAAAACACUUUGCCAAGAGUGGCUGGACACAAUUGAAAUAAUGUGCAAUGAAAUACUCGGUAAUUACUCCAAAAAAGAAGAUCAGUUGAUGACUGCGGCCUUCGGUACCCGUCCGAAGCGAAGACUGAAUCGAGUGCUGGAUGCCUUGGGUUUUGAAUACCCUGAUUACGAACAACUGAAUAAAGGUGUCGAAGGCCGGAAAAGGAAAAGGGUAGCCGAAGCUUUAAAUGAAGAUGAAGAAAGAACCACCAAAAGAGAAGAAAAUUCCGAAGAAGAGAAAAGUAUCAUCUCCGAAGCGAAAAGUAUCCGACGAAGAAGAGACUCCCGCAUCACGCUCUGCCACUGAUGUGGAAGAGAUUUUGAAGGUAAUGACUGAAUUCCUGCCUGUGAAGCUAAGUCCAUUAGGGCCUCAACUGACGAAGUUUUUUCAGAAGGAAAAGGAGCCCGAAAAAACGAAGGAAACAACUAAAACAAAGAGACAAAGAAUCAUCGCAGUGACAGAAGUCAUUGACAAGACACCACCGAGAGCCUCAGCUCGGAAGAUACCAGCGGCUGAGGAAGUAACAAAUAUUGAAGUCGCACCUUCGGAGAUCGCGACUACCGAAGCUACCUCAACCGAAGAUUUGAACUUGGAAACCACAAUCGAACAUAUCGACAAAAUACUGCUAAACAUGGCCACAGAAGAAGCCACGACUGCCGCCGAGGAGACCAUGGCCGCAGUGCCUGGGAAAGAAAAGGAAAUCUUUGACGAAACUUCAGAGGACGAAGCCUUCAUGUUUCAAAAUUUAGUUGGACAAGAAUUGUCAAAAACCGAAAUAGAAGAGCUUAAAGAAUAUGUCAAAUCUUGCGGAUAUAAACCAGGAGCACUCCUCUUCGGGGGUAUUGACGAUGAAAAAUUAGACUGUAUCCGGGAUCAAACUGGGGCUAAGAUUAUCGGUACUCUAUCAAAGAGUAUCGGUUUUCCGAAGCUAGAAACGGAUAUUAGCCGCUACCGACGACAACAUAUCGUUGGUAGUUUAUUCUAUUCCAAUUUCAAGGUGAACUAUUUUUCCCUUGACUUUUAUUGUUUUUAAUAAUGAAGACAUUUCUAACGAAGGUUGUUUAUGUGCAGAGUAUGCUGUUGAGUAAAGCCUUGAAAAUGCAGCAGGAUCUGGAAGACAAAAAACACGAGGUUAUAAUUGAAAAUUUAGAGAGCAAAUUAAAAGAGCAAUCAGAUACUAUUGAAAAGAAAAAUUUCGAGCUUCAGACAACUGAAGGCUUAUUGGCAGAAGCCGAAGCUAAAAUAGCAGAAUUGAAUACGAAGCUUCUCUGCCAAUCUGAACAGUUUGAACAAGAAAAGCAAGAACUUAAUGCGAAACUUGAAGCCGAAGUUCAACAAAAUUCAGAUUUGAAAAAAUUAUUGGCAAGCCUUCAAGACAAAUGUUUGGAGUUUAGCAAUAAAUGUAUUCAACGACUGAGAAAAAUCUUCCACUCAGUUGGGGCUAGCAGUGGGAAGUUCACCCCGUCAACUGAAGAUUUACCAAAAACCUUCGAACAUAUUGAGGGUGAAAUUGAUGAGCUUGACGAAGUUAUAGCCGGGCACGGUGACUUCUAUGCCUGGGUAGCUUCUCGGGGCACUGCUGCAGCUUUUCUGAAAGCUGGCUGCGACCAUGGAAAAAUUGUUAAUAGGCCCAAUUUCACUCUAUCACCAUCAAUUUUAGAUGAUAUUCCUGACCUCGCCCGAAGCAUUUCUAAUAGAUUUGUAAAGAUGAUAUGGACAAAAGGUGGGCGAGAAAAGGCUGGAGACGAAGCUCGGAGUCAUCUUGAACCAGUAAGAAAUCAUACCUUGUGCUUACCUUUUCCUUCAAACUUGGUUUUGACUCUCAACAACUUAAUUCAUGUAGGAUGACGAAGCCGAGACCGAUGCUUAGAGUACGACGCCAAAGCUGAGGCCCCAUGAUGAUCAGUAGGAGUAGACUGUAGAAAAACUCAAGAAACUUUUGAAAUAACUUUUGUAAAUAUGGCUAAACAGUUCUUAAUGAACUUUGUUCAUACCUUGUAAUAUGCUCUUACCCUUCCAUUAAUGUAUGAGGUGCUUUGAUGUGGACGAAAUUAUCUUUUUGAGACGAAGGCGAAAAAACACCUUCCCUUCUUUUCGUACACAGCGAAGCAUAAAAAACAGCUUUUUCUUUUUGCCGAAGCUCUUCUCUUCGUACACAACGAAGUACAAAACACAGUUUUUUCCUUUUUGCCGAAGCAACCACUUAUGCUAUGACGAUGGUUAUCCUACAUAUGCCUGGAUGAAUGUUUAUGAAUGCAAAUGUUAUGAUGUAAUGUGGUGUGCAAAUGAAUGUCCAAACACAUAUCCGAAGCCAAAAUCACAACCAUUAUUUCCUUAGAAACAAUCACAUAUCAGCGCUGACUUUUCGCUGUAAGCCUCCCUUAGGAGCUUCUUCGCCUUUUACUUCAGCGGAAUCAGCGUUGACUUUUCGCUGUAAGCCUCCCUUAGGAGCUUCUUCGCCUUUUACUUCAGCGGAAUCAGCGUUGACUUUUCGCUGUAAGCCUCCCUUAGGAGCUUCUUCGCCUUUUACUUUCGGCGGUAUCAGCGUUGACUUUUCGCUGUAGGCUCUGCAUUCCCUUUGGAACCACUUUUGAGCAGAAAACUUACACUGCGCUCCCUUUGGAGCGACUUCUUUAGUAGCUUCGUCGUGCUCCGCAUCCCCUUAGGGACGUCUUUCGAGCUUCUUCCCUGUUUCUUUUCGGCACUCGAUGGUGCGUUCUCAGUUUUUACAUUUACAUCUUUGGGGGAUUUUGCUCUUAUAGAGCUAAAAAAGGAAAUUACAUGUGAUGGCCCCAUUAAAAACCUUUCUCCCCCUUCAGAAAGGAAAAGGGUGCCAUGAAAGAAAAAUAAAAAAUAUAAAAAAUUACAUCGAAUUAUACAUAAUAUCGCCGAAGCUCAUCCGCAUUCCAAGAUCUAGGAAUGUCGUUGCCGUCCAUAUCCUUCAAUCUGUAUGAACCGGGUCUUGACGAAGAUGCUACCAAAAAAGGUCCCUCCCAUUUCAACUGCAACUUGCCCACUGUAUCUGGGUUAGCCACUCUCCGAAGCACCAAAUGUCCUGGCUCAAUAUUCUUUAGCCGAACCUUUCUAUCACGCCAUUUGAUUGUUUCGGCUUGAUAUUUAUUGAUGUUCUCCACAGCUUGAAGCCUGAUCCCUUCUAUAGCAUCUUUUUCCACAGAAUGAUCAGCUUCAGGAUCUGAUUCUGCCGAAGCUACUACUCUUAUUGAUCCAGUUUUAGCUUCCUCCGGAGUUAUUGCUUCGUCACCAAACAAUAAUUUGAAUGGAGUAAAGCCUGUUGACCUUGAUGUUGUUGUGUUGUGGCUCCAUACCACUUUGAUUAAUUGAUCUGGCCACUUUCCCCUGGGUUGAUUGAAGAUUAACUUCAUUAUUCCUGUCAUUAUGAUGCCAUUGGCUCUUUCAACAAGUCCAUUUGACUCCGGAUGCCUGACUGAUGCAAAAUGGAUCUUCGUGCCAAUUUGAUCACAGAAUUCUCUGAAAGCUUCGGAGUCGAAUUGUGUUCCAUUAUCUACAGUGAUGGUCUUUGGUACCCCGAAACGACAAACAAUAUUCUGCCAGAAAAACCUUUGAAUGGUGGCCGAAGUUAUCGUGGCUAAAGGCUUUGCCUCAAUCCAUUUAGAAAAAUAUUCCACAGCCACUACAACAUAUCUUAAGUUUCCUUGGGCCGGUGGUAACGGACCUAACAAGUCAAGGCCCCACCUUUGCAAUGGCCAGAUGGGUUGUAUCAGCUGAGUUAGAGACGAAGGUUGUUUUUGAUCUCUUGCACAUUUCUGACAACCUUCGCACUUUUGAACUAAUUCCGCUGCAUCCGAAGCUGCCUUCGGCCAAUAAAACCCUUGACGGAAAACUUUUCCAAGUAACGGCCUAGACCCAAUGUGAGAUCCACACAGGCUUGCAUGUAUUUCUUUCAUCAAUUCUAUGCCUUCGGCUCUAGAUAAACACUUGAGUAAUGGAGCACAAACUCCAUGUUUGUACAACUCCCCUUCUAUCAUGACAUAUGGACGAGCUCUUGCCUCUAUCCUCCUGUUAUAAGUUUCGUCAUCUGAAAGGAAGUUACACUGAAGGUAAGAGAUGAUCUCAGUUCUCCAGUCUUCACUAUAAACAGGAGAUAUAUUGAGGACUGCUCUUUCAAGAAGUUCCACUGAAGGUGCCUUUAUUGUUUCGAAGAACACAUCCGAAGGUAAGGGCAGCCCCUGUGCUGCUGACUUAGCUAGCAAAUCAGCAUGCUCAUUUUGCCCUCGAGGGAUAUUUUUGACAGAAAAUCCUUCGAAGGAAGCUUCAAUUCUUUGGACCGUGUCUAGAUAUUUUUCAAGCUUCGGAUCUUUAGCCUUACAACUCUUGUCGAUAUGACCCGAAACAACCUGGGAAUCAGUUUUAAGAAUGGCCCUUCUGAUUCCCAUUGCUUUUAACUUCCGAAGGCCCAAAAGCAGGGCUUCGUACUCAGUAAUAUUGUUUGUACAACUAAAAUCGAGUCUUGCCGCAUAACAAGUUUUAACUUUGGAUGGUGAGACCAACACAGCGGCUGCUCCUGCUCCGAAGGUUCCCCAAGACCCAUCGCAAAACACUGUCCAUACUUCGGCAUCUUUAUUUGUUUCUUCAUCCUGAGCCCCUGGCGUCCAGUCAGCAAUGAAAUCUGCCAACGCUUGAGACUGGAUCGAAGAUCUAUGCACAUAAUCAAUGCAAAAUUCAUUGAGCUCUGCAGCCCAUUUUCCAAUCCGUUCAGUAACUUAUCUAUUUCUCAUAAUAUCCUUCAGCGGUUGCGAAGAAGGAACAUCAAUAUUGUAUGCUUGAAAGUAAUGCUGAAGCUUCCUGGAUGCCAUCAAAACAGCAUAUAACACCUUCUCCAAUUCUGUAUAGUUUUUCUUCGAUAAACUAAGAACCUCAGAUACAAAAUAUACUGGGACCUGCUUCUUGACUUGGCCAUCAAGCUUCUCCUGGACAAGUGCUGCACUUACCGCUGAGUGCGAAGCUGCCACAUAUAAUAACAAAGGAGCCCCUUGUGUUGGUGGAGUUAAUGUUGUUAAAUCUAUCAAAUAUUGCUUCAGUUCCUCGAAGGCUUUUUGUUGGCUUGGUCCCCAUUGAAAGACUUCGGCUGAUUUCAGCACUUCGAAGAAUGGUAAAUUUCUCUCUGUUGAUCUGGAUAUGAAUCUAUUGAGAGAUGCCAGCCUCCCCGUCAGUCUUUGGGCCCCCUUUUUUGUAUUUGGUGGCUCCAUUCGAAGUAUAGCUUCAAUUUUACUUGGAUUAGCUUCAAUUCCCUUUGUUGAAACCAAACAUCCAAGAAAUUUCCCCUUCUUUACUCCAAAGACACAUUUUUCUGGAUUCAGCUUCAGACCAGCUUGUCUAAAACUGGCGAAGGUCUCCUGCAAAUCAGCAAUGUGAUUUUCUUGUUUCGUGCUUUUUACAAUGAUAUCAUCAACAUAAGUUAGCACAUUUCUGCCUAUCUGAGACUGAAGAACCUUCGCAGUCAUUUGGCUGAAACUUCCUCCAGCGUUCUUGAGCCCCUCGGGCAUCCGAAGGUAACAAUAUGUUCCACUGGGGGUUAUGAAACUGGUCUUCGGCUCAUCCUCCUUUUUCAUCCAAAUUUGAUGAUAGCCUGAAUAACAAUCUAGAAGACUCAUAAGCUCUGACGAAGCUGCUGCAUCAACUAAGGAGUCUAUCCUUGGCAAUGGGAAUUCGUCCUUCGGACAGGCCUUGUUGAGAUCCGUAAAGUCGAUACACAUUCGCCAUUUGCCAUUGGCCUUUUUUACCAUAACAGUGUUAGCUAGCCACUCUGGGUACUUUACUUCUCUGAUAACUCCUGCAGUGAGGAGUCUUUUGACUUCGUUCCGAGCUCCUUCGGCCUUGUCUUCAGACAUUUUCCGAAGCCUCUGCUUUCUGGGUCUAAAGGAUGGGUCAACAUUGAGCGAGUGUUCAAUAACAUCCCUGUUAACUUCGCAAAGAUCAUUGGCUGACCAUGCAAAAACAUCUUUGUUGUUGAACAAAAACCUUAUCAAGGUUUUCUCCUGUUCUUCAGAUAAUUGGGAGCCCAACAGCACCUUCUGCUCUGCUAUGUCCUCACAUAAGAGCAUGGGCUUCGACUGAUCUGCCGAAGCUGCUUUCUCCCUUCUGUAUUUGUACUGUUCACAAGCUUCAGCUCCAUCUAUAUUAUGGAUUGCUUUUGAGUCAGUCCAGUUUCCCUCGGCCCUUCUGGCAGCUUCCUGACUUCCAUGAAUAGCAAUGGGUCCUUGAUCCGAAGGUAUCUUCAUGCAAAGGUAAGCAGGAUGAAGAAUUGCUUCGAAAGCAUUGAGGGUGCCACGACCAAUAAUUGCAUUGUAAGGGUAUUCCAUGUCAACAAUGUCAAACACAACUUGCUCAGUUCUUGUGUUGUUGAUGAAUCCGAAGGUCACUGGCAUGGUGAUUUUGCCCAGUGCUACAAUCUGUCUUCCUCCGAAGCCACAGAGAGGGUGCGUAGCAUCAUGAAUCUUAUCUUCUGGCUCUUGCAUUUGUCUGAAGGCCUUAGCAAAUAUAAUAUCAGCUGCACUGCCUGUAUCAACCAAAACAUUGUGGACCAGAAACCCUUUGAUAACACAAGAAAUAACCAUAGCAUCGUUAUGAGGAAAAUCCUUGAGCUGAAGAUCCUCUUGGGAGAAGGUGAUUGGAAUGUGGGACCAUCUUGACUUGAUGAAGGGUCCCUGUACUCCAACAUGUUGUACCCUUCUCUGCGCCUCUUUCUUCUGCUUUUUGUUGGCUGGUUCUGAGCACGAACCACCAGUUAUCGGGAGCACCAGCUUCGGGGCCGAAGCAGCUCCAACUUGAUCGUUAAUCGAAGCCAUCAGCUCAAAAAGUGGAAGUGAGUUGACCGGAGGUGGGCGCCAAUGUUGGGGACUUGUUCUCAAAUGCUAUGAAUCAAGAACAAGGCAACAUAAAAUGUUAAAUGUUAAUGCCCUUCGUCCAACGAAGCAUUAUUCCCUUAAGGAUUAAUGAACUUUGGACGAAGGUUAAAGACAAUAUGAUUACGAAGGUUAAAUCUUCGUAAUUGAAUUCUAAUAGAUUGAAUAAAGUAAUAUAAAAUAUGAAGCGUCAAAGGUGAAUAAAUUAUAAACGAACAACAUUAUUUUAAUAUUAUAUCUAUUUAAUAUAUUUAAGCAUUGGGUACAGUAAUACCUCUGCCUCGGCAAAAGGUUGAUUCCCGAAUGAUGCGAUCACUAUUACAGGAAUGCGUGAAUAGUAAAGGAAUAAUGUUCACUAUUUAUAGGCACAGGACACAGCCUGUGAGGAAUUACAAUCAUGCCCCUCAUAAGGGAUUACAACAGCGACUCAAACAUCUAUGGACUAAAAGGUCAUUCUACUUUUAUGUCGGUUUGUAAUUCCGAAGCUUCAUGAAGAGGAACCUUCGGUCAUCACAUGCGGACAGCUUCAGCCGAAGUUGUUUCUUCCUACCAGACCUUCGGCGACGAAGCAUAGUCCCAACAGAAGGCCCAUAAAAAGAAGCAGGCAACAAAACAUCUUGAUUUAUAGGAAUCAACGACCUCGCCACUGCAAAGGAGGAAGUCGAAUGAUUUGGAUUCGGACAGGCUGUCUCGACAGUAAGAAAUCGACAUCAUCAUCUGUCUUUCAUGAUGGUGAGAGGCAAGAUUUCGUGGUAAAGCACAAACCAAGCAUAAGUGGAUAGCAACUUAUACUAUGGAGGCAGAGUCUCCUCCCCUCAUUUCGCAGCUUCUUUGCUCUGAUCCUGAUCUCUCUUUCGAAAUUGCUACAUGAUUUGUGAAAAGUGAACAAAUAGGUCAGCCACAUAAAGAAGAAUAUGGGUGGUGUAAGCUUUCCCGCCUGAUCUUUACCUAAAAAAAUGGAAGUAGCUCGAUUCCAGUAUCAAGGAAAAUGGGUUGUAUAAAUAGAAUGAGAAAAAGUUAAACACUAGGAAAAAAGAUUCUUUUUAGUAAUACUUUAUAAGCAUGGAAGACCCUAGCAACGUUAGGUAUUACUAAAGAUGAAGAUCGAAGUCCAUCCAAGUCUAGAAGUAAGCCCGAGACAAGUGAACAAAGGCUGGCGUAAGCACAAGGGCGAGCUGAAGAAAGCUUUUGAAUUGAAGAAAUUGGUUCUGACGUCGAAGAUAGGCUAGCUAGGACUGAAGCUUUGAAGCGGAUUGGUACUGCUUUUCCUUUGGGCUCAGGCAUGGUUGACAAGCGGGACUUUCCCUUUUUUUUUCCCUUCGGAACUGGAACUACUGCUGGAGCAUCCAAUUCGUCAGUUACUGGCAUGUCUGUGCUGUGGUGAAAGCACCUUUUUUCAAAGCAAAGGCGCGAUUAAAUAAUGGGCAAAUCGGGAGUUUGCAAGCUACGAACUUGUGGUAGUGUAGAAGAAGGUCCGGCAUAUCGAGGAAUAGGAGCCACACCAACCAUGAAUGGUCGAAUCGUCGAGUAGUAAGUAGUAGGGGAAGUUAAUCUUCUUCUUUUUUCGAAGCUGUCGGUUCAUCCUAGUUUUUGGUGAGUACUUCAAUAUCUUUACCAUCCUUUCCCUUCGCCAGUCUUAGUUCUUAGAAAAUCAAGUAAACCACUGCCCAGGAUUUCUUUCUGGGGCUCGCCCCAUCCUAUAAUGUUUCACACACCAGAAAAAACCAGAACGAAGCAAGCUUCAUGCGUGGUACCAGAUAGAUGUCAUCAAAGACAGAUCACUGAUUCGGAGACUACCUAAUAGUAUGAUCUAUAUCAUCCAGGUGGAGUAUGCAUGAAAGAGUCAGAUGCUUCUUCUAUUCUUUCCUCCUCGCCUUGUGCCAAAUAGCGAAUCGAAUAUAGAAGAAAAGUUCUUCUGCUUCCUGCUCAACAACUUAAUAAUAAGGAAAUAUCUAUAUACGCAACAUAAGCUCCUUCGUACCCAACAACUUAAUAUAGGAGAAAUCCAAAGUCCUAGUUUGAAACAUCAAGAAAAUGCAUAUUCUUUCUAUACCAGUGGACAAGAAGAGAUGGAAUGUUCCAUUCCUGGACGUAAGACCGUGCUGUAGUAAGCUUUCUUUUGCUCAGGAAAGUGGGUCAUUUCAGAUACCACAGUUUGGAGAAUAAUAAGAAUUCUCAUAGGCAAAGAAGUAAGUCAGCACUAGUCAAGUAGGAAAAAAACAAGUAGGAAUAGCUAGAAGUACUUACUAUAGCUAUAGUAGUUGGCAUGUCAAGCUCUAUACAUAAUAGGUCUUUUCAUAGCUUCGAAGGGUCACAAGUUUACUUUCAAAAGGAAUAGAAAGACGGGAUGGCAAGUAUAGGUAAUUAUAGUCAAGAAAGUAGAAGUAAAAACCUACAAGAAGCAAUGGUAUUUCAGGUUGGAUAUAUGCAAGAAAACAACUAGUAGAAAUGCUAGGGUAUAUGGAAGGUAGACAAGAUAUGCCUAUUUCAAAGUUACUAGGUAAAGUAAUGUAAGGGAUAAGUAAAGUAAGAAGAGAAAGAUAGUCAAAGUUGACAUCUUGAAAUCGACUCGCAUGGGCCAAGUAAGUGCUUAUAAAAGGAGGCUAAAGCAUAAAACAAUAAUGAAAACUAUAGGCAUGUUGGAUCAUCUAUAGUCCUAGAACAUGUAGGACCUGGAAAAUGAAUCCGAGCGAGCGACAAUGCCCUUAUAAGGAAGCCUCUCUUUUUAGACUAGUCAACCUAUGCACGCCUUUUCCAAUAUGCUAGAGCAGGCGAUUGUUCAAGGGUAAGUUACUUCCUCCUUUAUGCAGAUGAAAUACUUGCUUAAGCGUGAGGCUUAGCAAAAGUGCUUUGACACAGUAGGAAAGGUCAGUACUUAUCUUUGAAGAAAGACCUAGGCCUUAUGAUCGAUCCUAUGGUAAGAUGUUUUCCCUUACUUAAUUAAUAAGCAGCCAUAGUCCGUGCUAGGAAGACUUUCAUUAUAAGAAUUCUAGCAGUCGGACUUUGAAACAGAAAAAGCCUUAGGAAUGGAAACCCUAGGCCCAGCCUGACAAGGCUAGAGAGAAAAAGCAAUAGCAAGAGAUCAGCGAACGAAGCGGAGAAUGAUCACAAUUAGGUCGAUCCUACCAUAGCCGAGUCUACAUCCAGGACCUGACACGAUGAAAAAUAAGAUUCUUUCUAAAAGAGCUAAGAAAAGGAGUACGAGGACUAGCUCAACGUAUACCCGCACGAAAGACUUGAAAGAGCUCACGCGUAUUAUGCCUACCUUGGCUACUGGUGAAGAUGGAGUCGUAAAUUCACUUAACCAAAGCCAUACCUGAUUGCCUACGAAGGUCUUAAGUCUCCGCAUGCCCAACACCUACCCCUACCUCUAUCCUUAACAAGGUCGGGAUAUCCACGCAGAAUACUAAUAAAAUAAAUAGAUUAAUGAUUUGGAUGGCAAGGCGGAUGUACUAGUCAAGAUAUAUCUGUCCUUCUUUUCCAUCUUAAAAAUAAGACUUCUGGCGAAAAGAGUGGAGUUGACUACCCUUGCUUAAUAACUAGUUGCAGGCAUGGCUUAUUAGGUUUCUGAAAAGAAAUUAAAUUGAGUUACCAAAGAAAAUAGACGGCACAAAACGGGCGUAGCGAUAGAAAGAGGGCUAAUUCGACUCCUGUCCGAUCAGAAGAGUUUCUUUUCCCCCACCAUAAACAGAGUUGAUCUACCAUCUAUACCCUCUCUACCACCAGUCCUACCUGACAGACGGUUUAUUCCCACUUUCCUCCCUCCAUCCCCGUACUCUUCGGGUGGACGGUAUCCUAACCUUGCUUCUGGACGGUCUGCUUUCUCAAUCAAUCCGGUUUCUUCUUCCGCUCGGUACUCAUCUACCCUACCCCUCGCAGGAGCUCGGCCGUCUGUACCACCAAGAAAUCAAAGGAAAGAUGAAUUUUUGCCAUCUUGUCCACGAGAAAGCUAGAACAGACUUGUUUUGUUGGUACCAGCUAGAUAGAAAGAAAGGACAGACUCGCUAACGCUCACACAUCGUUAAGGUUUUGCUCUUUUACGCCCACCAGAGUCAUGUUUUCUUCGCCCUCUCCGACCAACCAAUAGUUGCUCCACCACUCUUCCCCAAGUCCGUACUAACUGGACUCGCUUCUAUUCUCGAUUGGAUAUAGAUGGGGAAUCUCUAUAGAUCGUCUUUUUCGACAACCUCUCUAAAACGCAUACGAUAAAAUUGCACUUCACGGCACGGCCAAAAAAAGAAAGAGCUUCGCUCGGUUGGCCCUCCUAGGCUUCCGCCUACUUUCUCUUCUCUUAAGUCUACAACAAGUGGGAGAGGCAGGAUUCGAACCUACGUAGAAAACCUUCAACAGAUUUACAGUCUGUCGCUUUUGACCGCUCGGCCACUCUCCCCUUCCCUGGGAUACGCCCUCCUCAAACAAAGGGUUCCUGAAUAAGAAGGAUGGCGGCCUUCGUUCUUAUUCUUAAGUUAAGUUAAGAAGAGCAGAUGGAACUAUUAGAUUUGCUAGCGUUCCGGGAGAAUAAAUAAGGUCAUUUAGUAAGUUCAUAACAAUUUAUGUAAAGCAAGGGGCAAAGCUUCUACGACAGCUUCCCCCUCAUUGCCAUCGUCGGCCUUCCCCAGCUCCCCUCCUUCGUCUGGCUAAGCUAAGCAUCUUUCGGCGGAGGAAAGGAGGCGACUAGUCGCUUCUGGCGAAGCUGCGAGUUCAUGAGCAAGUGAAUGAACGAGCUGCGAGUGAAGUGCAACAGUCGUAAGUAAGGCUCGCCAUGUUCCUAAAAGGAGUGACCAUCUUUUCUUCCCUUCUACUGACACUGAGCGAGCAGCAAGCAUAGGCAAUAGUUUCCGUAGCGUAGGGGUGGGGCGCAAGCAAGCGUUUUCAGGCUCCGCUAGCUAGCGUACUCUUCUGCUAUCAAUGAAACCAAAAGAAAAAACCUGUGCCCUUUCGUAUAGAUCGAGACGCAGUACUUUUUCUUGACUUCUUCCAUACUAGGAAGAAUGGAAGGAAAUCCUUCGAUAACACUUCUUCUUCCUUAUUUGAAGAAAUGAUAUGAUAUCCGACUCUUUCAUUUUUAAAAAGUUCUUCUUCUUAUCUUAAGUCUUAAGAUUAAGAAGCAAAUAGCAUUUCCUAUUGAUUUGUCCCCUCCCCUGGACUAGACCUAUGUAGAUUCGGAAUUAUCCGUCGCUACGCUGUUCCCAAGGACUAGCAAAAUCAAAAUAGCGAAAUUCUUGGGUCAUCUCAAUGGGUUCAGAAACCACACGUUUCUCUGGAUCAUCAUAGCGUACUUCCACAUAUCCACUCAGAGGAAAGUCUUUUCGUAAUGGAUGACCCUCGAAACCAUAAUCAGUUGAUAUACGGCGUAAAUCCGGAUGAUUGAUGGAAGAAACACCAGACAUAUCCCAUACUUCUCGCUCCCACCGGCCGGCUGAUGGAAAUGGACUGACUACCGGAGAUAUUCGUGUUACUUCGUCCGCACUUGUUUGUACACGAAUGCGUGAGUUAUACCGAGUACUCAGUAAAUUAUGGACAACUUCAAAUCUGCGUUUUCGAGAGGGAUGAUCCACUCCGCAAAUAUCGAUCGAAACUUGAACCCUUGUAUAGGUAUGCCAUUUUAGAAAGCACAACAAUGGAAAUGGGUAGUCAGUAUUGGUAUAAGAUCUAUUCCCAUGUUCCGAUCUUUUCAUUUUAUGUACCCAUUUCUUGGGUAAAAUCUCCCAACUAUAUUUGAAAAUGGAUUGGUUAUCCAUAAAUGAAAAUAAAGAAAGCUUGAUUUUUGUUCCGCUUCUUGCUCUAAGCAGAAAGACUUGUCGGAAAUCGCCGGUUGGGUUGGUCCGACCAAGAAAGGCAUGGGAGUGGAGAGGCGGAAGUGAAAGACUGGCUACCAAUAAAGAUCCCUCACUGCACACUUUCUAUAGUUCUGUAUCCAGGAUCGGCUGCAUGCUCUAGUGUUGAAUCGGGUAUAGAACCCAGGAUGCUUGGUUACAAUUCCGAAUCCGCUAAACCAUGUUUGUUUUCUUUUUUUUUCUCGACUGGCUUUCUUUGCCCAUGGGUAAUGAGUUUCGAUGUAUUGGGCUGGGCGUUUCCGUUUAGAAAUAGAAGCUUUUUCGUGCUUGCUUGCGAAUGGCCUGAAUGGAAUGAAUAUUAAGAUAAAUAAAAGACAAAAAAUAAACCAUUGAGAAAGUUAUUCAUUCUUAUAUUAAUUUCCUAUACUUGACCGAACAACUUCCAAUUCCGUUAUUUCAACUACACCAAAUGAAUUGGUCAAGACUCUCCUGUUUAUGGCCCCUUCUAUUCUAUUAGUUUCAGAUCGUGCGGGGAAAACGGGGUUCGAACCCGCGACUUCUGGCGUGACAGACCAGCACUCUACCCAACUGAGCUAACUUGCUGUUUUUCCAGUCUUCGAGCAAUGAUGUGAGACAUACCUGUUUCCCUUACUAGAGCCGAGCGGUUGCCAGGCCCGCGUCCUUCCCCAAUUGGCAGGCACGAUUGCAGUCCCAUAAGGUCCUUGACCCCUACCUUUUCUGAGAUUCAUGGAAUCAUCACAUCACUAUAUUUAUUAAUUACGCAUUUCUCGCUUCCACAAGGACGAAAAAAUAGGACGAUUACGGAACUUUUUCUGUCAAUUGCUAAAAACAGCAGUUCUAGAAGGGACAUAGCCAACCGCAUAAACUCUGGUUUGAAUGCCCACAGAGCUACAGGAGGGAGAACCAUUCAACGAGAAAUGACGAUCAACAUGGCAUAUCAGUAACCGUCGUUGAAUCAGUAAGCGGUUCUAGUGCUUGAGUACUAAUGAGGGAAAGGGAUACAUAGCCUUUAAUGACAAAGAUAGAGAAGUUCCACAGCAAGUUCAAGAAGAGAUGGCUGAGCCAUACAUAGAUUCUAUAUUUCCAUCGCCUAGGAGUUAAGUUCUUAGCGGCCAAACCACUCCCUUUUGUGCUCUUUCGCCCAGAUAGAUAUCAAUAUCUAUCUCAAUCCGCAUAGGCGAAUGCUAAAAGACAAGCAUAGGCAGAAGCAGAAAGAACAGAUUUACCCUAUCCCAGAAUCAGAUCUCUAGGUUUACCAAAUCCUGAUCAACCAAAUGUCUUGUGAAAGAGGGCUUUAAGUCAGGUCUGGAAUCUUUCGAACAGAAAGAGGUGGCUGAUCCCUCCGCAUCAGAAUAGGCAUACGAGUCUGCUUUAACCAACAGGGGUGUGUAUUUCCUACUUUCCUGGUAAGAUAGAGCGAAGACAAGCUUGCCUUCAUCUGUGUGGAGCAAAGUAAAAAAGUGGAUAAGAUUGCCAAUCUCAAAGAAAAACGAGGAGGAAGGGCAAAGCCAAAUGAUGAUGGAAACCCACAGCUUGCUCAAUCAUAUAAGUAGUAGCUUCUUCCUUGUCUUCUUUUCCUGUGAACUUAACAUCACCACUACCAAUAGGAAAAGAUAUUAGACAUUUAGCAAAGUCCCGCUCGUGAAAGUGUAGUAUUCCUGCACGAUAGAUGCGCCCUCUAAAAUAAAUCAAUGCUGGAAAGUAAAUAUCAUACCCAACAUAUGCACGUGCCAAUGCUAACAAGCCUUGUUCAUAUCUAGCGCGUUGAAUGCGCUUCACAAUCACUCGAUACAUAUAAGAUAAGAAUACCUAAAUUUACCUUUAAAUCUAUCAGAGUUUAGCUCAUUUUUAAGAGCCAGCCUCACUACAGAAAGAAAGCAGCAAUGCCCUCCCGAAGGAAAACGUUUGGAUUAGAGCUCGACACGAAGCAAAAUGUAGAUGAUCUCCGCAAAUGGGCGAGGUAGGAGGACGUGGACGUGGUUGGAUGUUAUUUGACACGAGGCCUUGUGCAAAAGACGAGUACUUCAGAGUCCACCAGGAAAAGGAUAUUGGUUCGCAUCUCUAUAUUGAUCCGCGGCGCUUCUAUUUCUAUUUCUAUGAAGUAGUUUUCCUUGUCUCCGAUUUCAAAGCUGAAUGGAUGACUGAAUCUGUCGAAGCAUCAUUCGAUAUUUGCGGAUUAGCGUAAUGCUAUGAGGAGUUAGAGUCUUCCGCGGGAAAGACAUUUCUUGAAGAUCUUUUAGCUCUACUUUUUAGAGAACUAGUAUUCCUUACAUAAGAUCUCGGAAGAGCCGAUGUUUCCUUCCGCUUUUCUUCCCGGUAAAUAGGAAUUCUAUAUCCUCUAGCUCUUCGUGACCUGUUGUGUCUGCCCUCGACUUAGCCUAGCCGUCUUAGAAUAGAAAGGUUUCUAACCGUUGAAAAAAGGAUACUUCUAAACGUUAAGGGGCGCUCAACCUUCCACUCAAAUCCUUUUUGGAGUGAGCUGUGCGAUGAACCUGCUGAUAUACUCUAUCCUUCCCAGGAAUCCUCUUCUUUCCUUUCUUUUCGGAUCAAUGAGACAAAUCUUUGAGGUAGUUCAAGCUGUCGUUAGGGUCUUUGGCAAAGGAAUGGAAAUGGGACCCCCUCGACUUCUAAGCGAGUCAAUCCUAGUAGAGAGAGGAAGACCUUUAAAAAGGAAAGUAGGAACGAUUCUGAAGCGGUACUCAGGAAAGUAGUAGCCGUGUAAGUCAGUCACUGGUUAAAAGCAAGCAAUUAGUUAGCAAUCAAGCUCUUCCGCAGCGCGCCUUGUCUACGAUUAAGAAUGUCAUGCCUAACCCACCCUUAUCCACUAAUAAAGGCAACUCUAGCUUCUGGCACAACUGGACUUAUGAAACCGAUCAUGCUGGACAAUAAAAUACUUCUUCCCUCAUACUUAUCUACUUCGCUUAGGCAAAAGAUUUCAAAAGUCUGUAUCUGUCUACAUGUGCCUCCGUCUAUGUUACCCCUUCCCCGGAAAGGUGAUUAUACGUAUAGUAUAAAAAACUAGAAUAAAAAAUAAAAAAGAAAGAAGAGAAAGGGCAGUAGAAUUUCUGACUACGUCAAAGGCUCGUUUCACUCUAAUUUAAAGGCUGUAACUCCUACUUAUUUAUAUUAAUUAAAGCUUGCCCAUGGCUGCUUUCUUCCCAUUCUUUCUUCUUUCCACUAAUCUAAUGGUUUCAUUCUCUGUGGAUUGAAUUCAUCUGCACACUGAUAAUUCACCAAAAACAAGAGGAAAGAGAGUAGUGGAUGAUUUAACACUAAGCCAAUCUUGAACAACAGAGGGUUCAUCUCUAUCUUUAGACUUGGGAUGGGAAAAACUUUAGUUGUUGGUUGGAUUACUGGCUGAAACAAUAGACCUGUUGGUUAGAAAAGCCAUUAUUUCAAAACUGUUAAGGAUUACUUCAGGAGGACCUAUUAAUCGUGCUUUGAUCCCUGCUUAAUGUUUUCAAAAGAUAGUUGGAAAGGUAGGUCUAUUUCUUCUUUAUCUUUGUAGAUCAACCUAGCUUUGUACAUGCUAUUGCUUCUACAAUUCACAAGAGUCAUUUCUCCCCCCAUCUGAAAAAUAAAUAAGGUUCACUCCAGGUUCUUAAUAGGCAGUAGGCCCCAAAGUCAAAACUACCAUAACUUCUUUCUUACAAUCCGAUUACUAUUUGAUCGAGAGAUAGGCACAUUUCUCCAUGAUAUAAACUAUCCAAUCCACCUCUUCUAUUAUGAAAUAUAAACCAGACAUCGUCGGCGUAAGAACAAGAUGGAUACUUCUCCUCCACCCUUGGAACGAGUAGUAGCUUCUAGUUUCGCAGGAAUGACUAGAACGCUCAGAUAUGGAAUUCUUUUAGGCUAGCUCUGGGCUUGCUGUUACAAGCGAUUCGAAUAGUUUUCUUGUGCUAGGUGUUGUACAGUACUAUACUACAACUACAUUUCUUUCCUAUUGCUUACCCGGUCGUAUAGCUCUACUUUUGAAACCGAACGAGUAUCGCUAGUUGUUACAAACAAACCCACCAAGCUAUCUCAUCCUCCUCCCCCGGGUUUCCUUCCCGUGUCCUGUGCUAGUAGUAUGUCUCCGUUGCUCUUUACUUUCUCGAAUAGACUAGUUUUACAGCUAUCUACGCAUUUACCAGUGCUACUUUAACGAAUCGGGUAGUUGGACAGCAGGAACUCUUUUUCUUACUACUCGUCCAGUACUAGCAUCCUUUGCCUUCUCUAUCAUUCCAGAGCUUCUCAGCAGACAAUCUCAGCCCCCUAGUUUAAGUCUACGUCCUCAGGGGCGCCCUUUACUUGGUUGAGAUCUAACCACCUUAUGAUAGCACCCCAAUAUUGACGAUCAUAGAUCCAGGCGGGCCCCCCUACCUAGAGACAUUAUAGCUCAUCGGUCUAUCAAGAUAAUAAAAUUCAUUAAUUAAAUUCCUGAGGAGAAAAGCUUUGUCUGGGCUCAAAUUCCAAUACCAUUGAUUGAGGAUAGGGUUUUGAAGGAGGAGAUGCAAGAGGGGUCACCAUUGUUUACUUUUCAUGCCUACUUGCCGGCGGAAGCGAGUAACGGCUUUGCUUCUUUCGUGAUUCAUUUGGAAUUCACUUUCUUUCUUUAGGGCAUAACAUUCAAUUCUAACUUUGGGAUUCCAGAACAUUCAAGAAAGAAGGUCAAAGGACUCAGGCUUUAAUGCCAAAGUACUGGGCAGAGCGUACUUACCUACUUAGACAAGAAGGAUACUUAUAUAUCUCUAUGAGCGUAAGGCAAAGUGGGCAAGACUACUUCCACAACUACAUUUUCGCCAUUUUUGUUAUAGCCCUUGCGGCUGCUGAAGCAGCUAUUGGACUAUCCAUUCUUUCUUCCAUCCAUCAUAACAGGAAAUCAACUCGUAUCAAUCAAUCCAAUUUUUGGAAUAAUUAGACAUAGAAUCCCCUAAACAAAGGGGCAUAUAUAAUAAUAAGAAACAUUAAGAUGAAUAGAAAUAAAAUCUUAUUUUCUUAUUAGUGUUUAAUAAUAUCCUUUUUGAUUAGGUUAUUUCAUAGUAUUGUUUUUUACUUAUUGAAUAUUGCAUUUUUGCAAUUCAUUGAUAUUGCAAUAAUUUAUAUUGAAAAGAUGAUAGCUAAUUUAUUGGCUAAUUCGAAUUAGUAUGUAGAAUUCGUAUAAUUAUAACUGUUGAAGCCUUAAAUUCAAGUCUCUUGGAUUUCUAAGAUCAGAGGAGGAAAAGAAUGAAGGUGUGGGCGGGAAGGAGGAGGCAAGGCCCCCUCAAUGUGUAUUCGACUACUCAUUACGGAACCACCGAUUGAUCUGAUUAGACUUCCCGCGGGGUAGCACGAGGAACUUGCUGAAUCAACUCCUUGGAAUCGGAGGCCUGACUGAGGGUCAAUCCUAUGGUAACCUCAACCUAGGAAUGCCUAUUUCACUUCCUUGACAAAGCCAACUGAGAUGCUCUGUCUCGAUGUUGACCUAACAUGGAUUGAUUAGAAAUUCUGAAGGGUCUCAUCCUGAUCUCGCAAAGGAUCAGCAAUAGUUGUGUGUACUCGAGGACUCUUAGGGAAAGAAAAGCACUUUUCUAUCUCAGUAGUUAGACCGGCUAUGGGCGGGUUGGUUAUAUACUGCGCCUUCCUUCUUUCGAACCUUUUGGUAUGUAUUGCCCCAGAAUAGAAUAGAUUAGAUCCACCGGACCAGAAACUCAAUUCCGCACUGUUGCUGAGUCGUCGGGCUUAUCCACCUCAGGGAUUCGUGGAAUUUCCGUUUUUGAAUUGCGUCGGGGGAAAUCUACCAAAGCUAGGUAGAUAGAUAGACUCCUUUCCCGCUGCUAAGGGAGAGCAAAAACUAAAUCACAUGAUUUUUCACCAGCGCCCUUUUUUUGCGGGUACUAAGAGUCCUCUCACUACCAACCAGCAGACAUCAUCAUAUGGCUGGGUCUUGCCGUUAUCAACAACGAGAAAGAAGAACCAAAUGGAAACAGUAACUAACUAUGGCUCUUGGCCCAGACAACGUCCUAGGCGUAGGGGAGAUCAAAACAAGAAGUCACGCCUAGACGAUGACGCUCAUCCUGGGCUGCAGUAAGUAGAUCGAGAGGUCGUUCCGCCCCUUGUCCCCGAAGAUGGGUAAUAUGUUCUCAUACAAUGUUGCUCCAACUUUUUUCUAGAGGGCCUAGCUGGCGAGCGAUCCUAGUCCGUGGCAGAGAACAAGACAGCAAGCGAGCGUACCUUUGUUCGCUUCUUUUCCACCAAGCACAGAAGUUUAAGGAGAACUGUAGGUCGGUGGCUACCUAAGGAAACUCCGAUUCAAUCCGCCCCUCGGCUGGGAGGCAUCUACCUCAUCCCGAUCACAAGGACAGGUUCACCAUGAUGGGGGGUCAGGUACUUGAAUUCUUUUCGUUCCGGAAAGAAUUCAAUGCAUAGGGGACCAUCCUUUUUUUUGCGGCAUGCUCUCUGAUUUACGGAUUCGCAGGGGAUUGAGGGCCAACCUUAGUUGACUGACAAUGACAAAGGCUUGUGAAACAAAGUAGCGCCUUUGAAAUGGAAUCUUAAUUAAGUAGUCGUCUAUCAGUGGUGCGAAGCAGCUUUGCCCCAGGGAGCGAAAGGUUAUACCUUUGUAAGCGAACAACGGUUCUUCUAUGUAGGGUAUUCCUCCUUUACUCUCUUAAUUAACAUCGAGCUAAGUGACUUUGUGUAGCGUAGUAGAAUGAAGGCUAUGUACGCACUGACACUCUCUUAUCCCUAAGCCUCUUCUCUAACUCGCUCGCCUAAAAAAAAUAGUAGGCGGGGCACUCACCCGCUGACUUUGACUGUACUGUAGUGUAGUGUAGUAUACUUUCGUCGCCUUUUCUUUUAGAACCCUUUCUCAUGUUCUUUCAUUCAUCAAGUAGGCGAACCGUCAGGUCCUUAGUAGCGUUGACAAAGAAGAAGAGCCAAAAAGAAAGCUAGAAUUUACAUUCCAAUAGUGAGACCAGCUUGACAAGCUACCUUUCGGGUGCGAAAAUCAUUUUUUAUGACUUCCACUUCUCGAUCCCGGCCCAAAAAAGUGACCGACCCCUUGAUGAAUGAAACAAAGGGUUUAUGAGCCCUAGCCCUGUAAGCCCACACCUGUGUAGAGUAGAUCGUUCAACACCUGCGGCACAAACCCAUUUUGACCAAUUGGUCCGUAUAUCAUAGGCGACCGAACGGCCGCCCCCCGUCUUACUAGACCAACCUGCUAUAAUUAUUCCAUAAACACCUAGCGAAGAUAUGGCAAACAAAUAAAGUAGCCCUAUGUUCGGAUCUAACAAUAUCAUACCAUAAUCAAAAGGUACAAUGGCCCAAGCGACCAGACUUAACAUAAAUGUAGCCAUUGGAGCCAUUCUAAAAAGGGAGAAAUUAGCACUACUUGGUGAAAUAGGUUCUUUUAGAAUCAAUUUAAAACCAUCUGCUAGAGGUUGUAACAAUCCGAACGAUCCCACUACAUCAAGACCCUUUCGACGUUGCACAAAAGCCAUUACUUUACGUUCACCUAGCACUAAAAAGGCUACUCCUAGUAGAAGUGGUAGAAUUAAUCAAAGUAUUUCCGCUGGAACAGCUAUGUACGUUUUCGAUUUUCUAUUCACUCAUGAUCGGGCCUGACCUGGUCGACCCGAUCAAACUAUUGAACUUAUGAUCUGGCCUGGUUGACCCAAUCAUGAUAUUGAAGGAUGGGACCUUUUCUCGAUAAACUCCGGAUCCUGAGAAGUUUUGAAGAUGGUGCUCCUGUUACGUUACUUCGAAUGGAAUCCUCACUUGACUAAGCAUAAGCGAAAAACGUGGCUGAGAGUAAGCAAUCCCUUUUCCUAGUGGUUGAGUCAUGAUCAGAAAUAUUGCGAAAGAAAGUGAAAUGUCCUAUCGUCGUCCCAAUUUGGGUAAUCCACGAUGUCUUCAUUUUAUGUACCCAUCUUUACUCGUUUUCGGUGUAUCGAUAGUUCGUUGUACUACACUUUGAACUAACCUAGAGUAGAGGUCGUGCUUAGGAAAAAAGCGAUAUCAGUGAUGUAAUCCCGGAACUCUAGAAAUCAUGAAGAAUUUCUUCCAUUUUGUUCAAUAUCGCGAAUAUAGCGGAAAAGGGCCCCCUCUAGAACAUUCCUUUGAAUGGAAUUGUUCAUUGGGUUCGACUUGUUGUUCGAAAAAAUCGAAAGCAGUCUCUCGUAUGUUAUUGUAAGGUGAUUCAUUCAUAAUAUUUAUUAUGUGCGGUUUCAAGAUGCUAAAAAGGUAUAUUUUGUAAUCGGCUUUUGAGCUCCAUUAUGUGUACUUCAUCAAUUUAGGAAUUAUGGACUUGGCGGUAGUGGUCAAUACUAACUGCACCGUCUAAAUGCUCCCUGACCAAGUUAGCGUACUCGCCAGGGUUGAGUUGAGGGCACGUGCGCUAAUUGGGCUUCGAGGUUGGCUUGGCUAUACGCGAAAAAAGCUCUCUUUCUACUAAUCUGCAGCCUGUUCUAUCCUAAACAGUUCCUGAAUGUUAUUUGUUUCAUAGGAAGACUCCAAAAGCACAUUGAUGCCAAAAGAAUCUUCGGAACCGGUGGAGACGCUAUUCUGAUUGAAGGCUAGACAAAUAACAUGACUGAGGUAUGUAAAUCAAACCAGUGAAAUAGCUUUAUAAUAUUAGAUAGAUAUAGAAUAUCAAAAGCAAAAGCCUGAUAAUGGGUUUCAAACACAAAAGAAGAAAAGAAAAAAGAAAAUUAUAGCUUUUUUUUGUGCAUGUUUUUCGCCUACCUUCCCGACCACGGAUAGGCUACGGGGCUUUGCACUUCGGCCCCUGUGAAUACCACAUCAAGGUGACAGGAUUCGAACCUAUGGCCCUCUCUACCCAAAACAGAUGCGCUGACCAGACUGCGCUACACCUCGUCUCCCCCCCGGAACAUAUGGUAUGGAUCUACCCAAUCGAAAAAGCCUCGAACCGCAGUCGCCAACCCCGCGGCACAGGGAGGCGAGAACCACCGCUUUUAGAAAAUAAGCCUACAAUUUUAUUUGAUUCUCGUCUCGUUUCACUUGCAUUUUCUUUCGGAAUGACUUGAUCGUUCUGAGAGUGGAAUCGAACCACUCACUCCGGAAGGAUUUAGAGUCCAAAGGGCCCAGCGAAAGAAGUCCCAUGCCAGCAGCCUGCUAGAACCAUUAAUACAGGGUUUGAUCCACUGAACACCCACACAAUCUCGAUUUGACAGAUCAUCGCCAUCUCUUUGGACAUGCAUGUGUUAAGCAAAUGGACUGAACUGAAUGAAGAGUGAUGUCACAUCGCAUUUUCGAUCUUAGGCGGACGAUGGGUUACUGAGUCUACGACCUCGCAAGGCACUACUGUAGACUUCUUUGGGCCAGACGCUUUCUCAAUCAAAAAUGGAAAGGAGUGAGUCUAUCACCUACGUCAUUUCUCAAGCAAAAAUGGAAGCAUUAAGUCAUCGUUCUGUCAUACAACAUCUAAGGUCAUCCCUUACGACUUCCCUACAUCACCCUUCUAAGCUCUUUUGCCCUAUGACAAAAGUCUACUUUGAAUGAAUGAUCAUUUUACGGUUCGAUUCCGUAUCGUGACAUGAAGAAGAAGUCCCAAACAAGGAUCAGAUGAGUUUGCACAGCGUUACUUUGUUGACGAAAAAUCAAAUUGUUCUUCUGGUUCCUAGUCUUUUCAGAAGACUAUGCUUACUUUCUUUUCUCUUACCGGUCUUUUCAAUCAAAGAAAUGUAUUCUGUUCCUCGAAUCAGGACUUUCUUUGUCGAGGAUCUCUGGUACUCCAUUGAGUUUUCGUUUCUUCUUCUAAUGGCUGUGUCCGUCUAAGGUGGCUGGCUAUUUGAGCGAUUUAAGUAUCGUGGUUGUCUUGAGCUCUGGAUUGAUGGACGGGGCUGGGUUCAAUUUCAACUCAGAGAUAGCCGGGUCUAUAGCUAUAGUAAGAGCCACUUUGUGAACAGCAUCGGAUAACAUAGCAAGGGUAGCCGCAAUAGAGCAAUUAUGCCUUAAGCCCAAAACUCUUCCUUCUAGCUCAUAGGGAAGGAAGAAAAGACUUUUCUUAUUCCAAGCCAGCUACGGGACAAGUGAAACAGGCAGUUAGUUCAGUGAGGACAGAAGUUCCAGCAAAGACAGUGGAAUGGUAAAGCUGUUCAUUCUCAACGGGAAAGGAUUUCUCUAUUGCAACGGGGCUAGUUUCAACAAGGUGAGCAAAGCUAGAUACUUAGGCUUGUCCAGUUGUUCCACCAACCCCUGCUCCCAACCCAGGUACAUUCUUCUUGGCAGCUCAAGACCUUUCUUGUUCCUUGCUCCCGUGGAUCGAUACUAGUUACUUACCUUUAAUCUUAGCUUAGUGUCUUUUACCUAACCUACUCGCUCGCCGAGCUUUUUUUAUCUUGGUUAUUGGCUUUUUUACUCAAGUUAGAGCUUUUCUUUCCUGGCUUUUUCACUCGAGUGGUUCGCUUGGCUUUAGCUCAUUUUUUGUCCAUUUCUUCUCUUUACAGAUCCCCUCGAAGUAUCCAGAAGAAUGGCAAUGCAAAAUAAUAGCAAUAGUCGUCUCGUAGGUGCUGGUGAAAGAAUAGCUUAUGGGGCUGGAGUCAAAGGAGCUUUCAUAGACAUAGAAAUCAUAAUAGAAAGAGCAGGCCUGCGAGCAGCGAGUGCCCUUUGUAAGUUGCGAGCCUGCCUGUCAAACCAUACGCGCCUUACCGCCCCCUUUCUUUUUUGAAUUAGAAAGAAGGGGAUGAAAGACAAAGAAAGAGAUCAGGUUAUUUACGACCGGAGAAAAGGAAGGGGCGUGGUUGAUGUGUCACUGGGAACCCGUAGGAAGGGGAGACGACCGGCCUCAUUCACAUCUAAAAUCGCCAACAUGAACACAAACGAAAUCGUCGAAUUUCGUAUAGAAAGAAAAGGAACCACUUCUAUUCUCUUCUCUUUUCUUAGGUAUAUGAAGAAUUGCUUUUUGGUCCCUUUCGUCUAGUGGUUAGGACAUCGUCUUUUCAUGUCGAAGACACGGGUUCGAUUCCUGUAAGGGAUAUUACUUCAUCCUGGCCUUCAAAUCGUUGGUGCUGAUUAUCAUAUAAUCUCCUUGCUUUGGAGUGAAGAAAAGAAGUUCGAUCAGUUCAUUCAAUUAGGAAGCGUCAAACUAGGCCUUUCUUUCAACGAAUGUCUCAUUCUAAUCUACCUACCCGGAUCCCUUUGCUACUAAGCGAGCCAACUAUAUAUCGACAGACCCAUCAACUUUGCACUUAACUAACCCAUUUAUUUCCAACAGUUUGACGCCCCAUUCCUCGUUUUCCCACUUGUACUUCUAUGCCUUGCCCCAUAGAGAGGAGUCUUCUUUCUUCGGAAAAACGGCUGAAUUCGAUUAAGUAUUCCCAUAGAGAAAAAAGCCCACUAAUAACUGGAGGUAGUAGCCCUUGCCGAAAGUAGCUCAUACGGGGGUAUUUCCUUGGCCAACGCUUCUAGUAGGAGGCAUAUUCCUUUCUCCCGAGGGUGAGGUUUCUCACUUUUGCCUAUGGCUGGCAUAACCAAAUCUAGAGCGGAGUGAGCCAAUCCAUUUGUAACCGUUUCAAAGUCUUCUACGGUAUCUUUUGGAUCAGAAUCUCCUGCUCAACCGAGAAUGAAUUCAUUUUCAUUGUAUUAUGUGGCAGUCCCACUACUUUCAACCAUGGAAGCGAAUCGACGAUCCUGUCCAGAGUAUCUUUAUGAAGAAUAUCCUAGCCUAGUCAUAGCUUUCUUUGUAAAUGAUCUCUCUUCUGCAUCGCUGGAAAAGUUCUCAACCGGAUUAUCGGAGAACAACCACACUCAACCAAGAAUUUCCCCUUCCCCCAUUUCCUAGUCUUCGCUAUUUUGCUUUUCUACUGCUUGCUCCCCGAGCUCCCUAUCCGAGUAAGUCCUACCUUCCUGGUUGGCAAGUAGUAAACCCUACUUCCCUUUCAAAUCCUUGAUUUGAUCAUCUUCAUUCCAUGGUGGACGGAGACAAACUAGUUACAAAUGUUCUUUGCUCGUGAUACUUUGAAUUGAAAGAGGAACGCUUGCAACGAUAGCCCUUGUCAAGCAAAGCAUCCUAGUGUGAAAAAGCAAGAAAAUGCACUGACUGGCCCUGCCUUCAGCCGUACUCUCCUUUCAUCUGGGUGGGUACUAGUUUGAAAGCAGGAACUCGGAAAGGAGGCAUGGUUUUGGCAAGAAGCAAGGAAUUCCAAUUCAUAGGAAAGCCAGCCCCGCCACGUUCGAAGAAAACAGAAGUGCUAGCAACGAAAGCAGCAGGGCCACGAAUCGGAUUAACAGAUAGGGAUCAGGUUGUUGUUGAAGUUUAUUAAAGAGCAGGGCCAAGCCGGAUUAGCAGAAGAAAAAAAGAAAGAGAAGGGAUACCCUUGCAUCCCUUCUCUUUCCAUUUUCAAUAUUACAGAUUAUCUAAUCUUUGUUGCUGCUUAGGACUAGGCGAACAUCAGAUGAGAUGAAAGCCAGUACUACCUCAUACGAUACGGUGAAGAAAUUCUAAUCUGCUCUAGAAAACCACUUUUCAUGUUCCAGAUAUAGCACGUAGGUUGUGACUCCACAUGGGGAGCUGAGGGACAUAACAUGAUAAUAGAAGGUCAUCCUAGGUAGAGCUGUAGCACAGAUCCACGGAGAAGGAGAAGCUCGGGUAAGAGGAAAAGAAAAGAAUACCACCAUAAAAGAAAAUUGUGCCCUCUUGAGCCCUGAACCUAGGAGCAAUGGUUUCUCUCCUUCCCAAACUGCAACCGCAACCAGUUCUAAUUCAAAAAGUGGGGUGGAGUUCAAUCAGAAACUCUCCUUCAUCCCUCUUCAAAUGCAUUCCUCACUACAAGAUUGAAUAUGUUUUCCCAGCCUCCCACCAGUAGGCGAAUCCCUCCAACCAAUAACUACACUACCUUGGUUAUCGCUUUCAUGUCUUGGAUUGAGCUUUCUAACUCUUAUUAUAGUUGGGUGGGUGGCAAGAAAGGACAAGAUUCCUGCUUCGUUCAAAGUCCUAGUCCUGUCUCCUGAUAUCUCGCCCGCUAUUUCUAUCUCCGCUAAACCUAGUCACUUGGCUAGCUAUACUUCUAUAGGAACUAUCUAAGCUAUACUUUACUUGACAUGACUGCCUAUCCUGGAACUAAAAGUCUUAAAUACGUCUCUCUUGGCUACCCGUGACUUGAGUUGACCUAUCCCUACUACUUGGUUAUUAGCUUACCCUUUUAUACCUAUUAGAAACCCUAGCUAGCUUGUAAACACCUAUCUCGUGCUUUACUUCUAUACUGACCUAAAUGUGAACUGAACAAUAUGCCUACCUUUUUUAUGUUUCUCAACAAUAAGCAUCCCGUGGUGACAACAAACCAUAUGCCAACAAACAACUCCUUAAAAUGCUUAUAUGUAUACAACUUGGCCUUGCUAUUCACAAAUGUCUAUCAGCUUCUCCUGCUUCUAUACUUGCCUAUCUGUGACAUGACCUAUUCCUACUUGCUUUGUCAACUACUUUACAAUACUUAACUUAACUUUACGAUACUUUACUUUAUCCCCAGACCUAUAAACAAUGGGUCUCAAUUCGGGAGGAAGAACCGGUAAAUUGUACAUACGAAUGUCAAUCUUCAUUUAAUACACUGAUAGGGGUCGAUUAGGCAAAUCCCAAAGCCCCGAAUUGCUCUACUGAUCUUCUCUCUCUUCAGACUCACUGAACCUUCUCAAAGACUCCUUUUGCACUGAGAACACAAUUAAGAACCCUCCUUCUCACAAGAAGGCAAACCUUGUACGUUCAUCGAAUCUUCUUUUGCAUCCAGAAGAGAGGUUGUGGGCUAUCGGAGAGAGUGGUUCAGGUGACUACCGGAGUCAUUGAUUAAGCAGGUCAGAUGGGCUUAGUAGGGCUUGAACCUACAAUAUCACCGUUAUGAGCGAUACGUUUCAACCAAUUAAACUAUAAGCCCAAUCGGAUCUCUACAUGCCGGGAAGAGCGGACAGAAAGAGGAGACCCUUUGCUCUAUCUCCUUCUUCCUCUUCCCGGGGCCCCGGAGGGCAAGCCCUAUUGAAGAAGCUAAGUGACUUUCGUCACUCAAGUAGUGAGUUUGAGAGUGGCCGUUAGGGCGACCACUUGUACUUCUAGGCCUUGGCGACCUAUAGUCUUGUUACGCAACACAGCUUCACUCGAUUCAGUAAAUCAAUAGUUCAAACCAGCCCACUAAUAGCUUAGAUAGUGGCCCUUCCACUUUGGUUUGGUAUAGUUGACCCUACCUAUUGACUCAAGGUAAGACCUCUGACUCAAGGUUCAUAGGAAGGGGGAACCCAGACGUAGUGGGAUGUAGGCUUCAGUUGUUUUGGUACUUUUGCACUACCUACGUCUUAUUAUUUAUUUUGUAACCGGCUUUUCACCGGCAGGUCAGUAGGCCUUUUAGAAGGCGAACAAACGAAAGUUCUACGUGGGCGCUAGCGCUAUCUUGUUCGCUUUUGUCAACUGAAGUCACGCGUAGCGCCAACUAACUGAUAGCUGAUAUAGCGCGGAGCCUCGAGUCUAAGCGAGCAGAGCCAUUUCUUUGUCGUCAAAAGAAAAAAAGUACUAAAGGCGAAGGGCAUUCUGUUGUACAGCUACUUUGGUUUUGGUAUAGUUACAAAGGUAACCGGUAGGUGACUGUUGAAUCGACAGUAGUUACGAAAGGAGAAAAUAGCUCAGUUGGUUAGAGUGUUGGUCUGUCACGCCAGAAGUCGCGGGUUCGAACCCCGUUUUCCCCGCACGAUCUUCCUCUUCCUGCCCGACUCAUUUUGUCUUCACUGGAAGCUGCUGAUCCCAGCGUAGCAUUCAAGACAAUUGUUUCUUCUUCGGUCUCCCUCCACCCCCUUCGUUUGUUGUGGGUCGCGUCUCACCGCAGGCACUUAAUGAAAAUGAAUGAGUGAAGAUCUUCCUUCCCCCUUGUGUCUUACCAAGGACUGAGUUCCCACUUGUGGCGAAAAAAAAGUAUACCAUCCCACCCGGCCUCCCCCCGGGGGGUUAAGGUUCCUCUCGGAGACUGCCAGUCUACAAGAAGCUGGCAGAGCUUUAGCCAUUGGACCACAUCCAUCCAUCCUCCUACCUAAAUAGUGACGCCUUUUCUUGUUCGCUCUUCAAAUUACGCUAGUGGAGACUAAUUCCUUCUGGCUAAUGAAGAUACUACCCCAGUCUUCCCAUUCAUUCCCAGUGGAUCCUUUUCAUUGAACGAACCAAGUUCACCUAUACGAGAGUGAGGAAUAGAAAUCCUACAAUCAACUUCCCACUUUUUAUGUCCCGUUUGACGAUUCUGCUGCGUCUUUAGAAAAGAAAAAGGAGAAGGACAGGGUCAGAAAAGCAAUAACUAUCAAUUCGAAUUCAGAAUGAAUCAAAUCUCCCCAUGUAGGAUUCGAACCUACGACCAGUCAGUUAACAGCCGACCGCUCUACCACUAAGCUACUAAGGAAGAACGGACUUAAGGAAGCUGACUCUCGUUCUUUGGACCAACCAACCGAAAAGAAAAAAAGUUAGUCACUUUUUCUCUUUUCCGGGAGAAAGGGUGACGAUAGCAAUCCCCUUUGCCUCCCCGGCCGGGGAGCCCCCAGGACAGGACAAGGGGGGCGGCGGUCAACCAUCAACUCUCGAUAUGCAUAUUGAUCAAUCGAUCUCUGCGUCCUGCCAGUUCGCUAAGUAGACUCACUCUACCGAGGGGCAACUAAGGUUGGUUCCUGCCAACUGCUUCCCUUGCUGAUCAGCAAGGGAAUUGGCAAGUAUGAGAGAGGACUCUCUCUGUCUCUCCGAGUUUCAACUACUAAGUGAAGUGAAGUAGCACUUCAGCUAUUCUAAAUGUAAAUAGAUUCCGAUCAAGCAAGCAGGAGAAGGUGGUCCUUUCAUCUCUCUGUCUGCUCCAUGCUCUAUAGCCUAAGGAUCAUGAGCAGGUUUAAUGCUAGAAAAAAGGAGAUCUGCCUAAUCAUUUCGGUAGAUGAAGUAGUGGGAUGGGAGGUCACGAAGGAAGUAAGGGGGCGUGUUAAGUUGAUAAUUUCGAACAUUGUAGCAUCCUUUUGACGGUUGGGCUUUGAGUUGAGUUCUUUUAAGAACUCUUAAUAUGAAAAUACACAUCAUAAAAUGACGCAUCGAGCGAGACCAUUCUGUUUCAUUGUGAAUGAAAGACGUUUUCGACCAAAAACAUCUACUCAUAUCCAGCUUCGUGUCAUUUUUCUUCCAUUCGCUCGCAGGCUAAACCCCCAAGAUCUUUCACUGUUCAGUUUGGUUUCCGUUCGUUAGCAAGUGCCCGGCAUCCGUCAAACGAACAUCGGCUAGUUGUGCUAGCUUUUCUAGCUACCUCUUUCACCAUUCAUUGGUUUGCGGAUCUCUCCGAUUCAUUCCCGACUUCCAUCCAGGAAGCGAUCUCGGUAACCCACGAUAAAUCCAAAUCCUAUCAAAACAGCUGUUCCAAUCCAAUGAAGAUAUCUCAACAUCAAUCAACUAUUCUUAUCGGAAGCUUAGUCUAAACCGAGAAACAAGUUUUUUCGCAUCGCUAAUAAUCCGGCGAAGGGAGGAUUCUUCAGAGCGGGAUCAAUGGACAACGGAGAUUUCAUAGCUGUCCGGGUGGUUAGGACAUCCUAUCUUGAGAGAUUUAGAAGGGAAUGCAUGUGCCUACCCUCAAACUUUUGGUUUUGUUUUGUUAGACGGAUACGGGAUUGUGAGAGCUGAUGUUCCGGGAUAGAAAUCCAGUGUCGAACAAGUAAGUGUAACUUUUAAGUUAUCAGGUGGUGAACUCGAUAGAAAAGGGUUCUUUCUUAUUCGUUAGAGGAGGGUUGUUCUUAUGAACGAACAAUUUCCAAUGACAAGAUGGUUGUGCAAUCUUGUUAUUUUUUUACUAUAACUGCAACUGCUACAACUACAAGACGAGAAAAAGAUGAAAAAAUCCAGUCUAUCGCUGGAAGAAGAUUGGAAUGCGCCCCAAGAGGUGAUCGAAAUAAAGAGGAUAGAAGUCUUUCAAAAUCACCCCCGCGUAAAGGAAAAAGCCCUUUCUUAUUCUUGGUCGUCUUGCCCCCCUGCUAAAAGAUUUCCGUUUCAAACCAGGUUGUUCUUUCGCUUCUACGCUCGUCAUUACCUUUUCGUGCUUUCUCGUACCAGUGCGUAUAUCAAUGAAAUGGGGUUUCCUUUUAGAUUAGAAUAGAACCGCCCACUAUGUCUGUGAUCCAAUCUCAGAACUCUUCUUUCUUUCCUCGUUCAUCCAAUAGCUCUCCAAAUGGAACCUCAGCUUUCAUAAACAGGAGCCGAAAGAAGGCGGAUUGAUGCAAGUGUAAUCAUUCCACGGAUAAAGAAAAGAGUGCAUGCAUCAGUCUCAGUCUCAAAGCCCUUUGAGGCAGUCGGAAUUCUCGUAUCAAUAAGAUCAUAUCGGUAUCCAUCUAUGAAAGAUCUCUAUUGCAUCAAACCUCCCCCUAGCCCGUCCCUUUUUGGUAUAGAAAGUUCCAGCCAAUUCCAAUAGCUUGAUAGAGGGCGCUAUUACCCUUCAGCUCAAACUUUCGGAAAGCUCUAUAGUAUCGUAUUCCGCUCGUAUGCUCUCGUUAUGUAAUAUAAUACCUUUUACCGUUCAUCAAGUGAACGUAGCCCUUUCGUAGUCUAUGCCCCUUUAUUCUUAAGUGGGGGAAUCCUCUGAAAGCCGGUGAUCGAGUGAGUAAGUCCGCCAGGAAGCUAGUUCUUUAGGGCUUAAAUGAAAGCUUGUCGGCUGUGAAAAGUAUACCUUUCCUUUCCCACCAGUUUUUCGGUGCCUUCUUUAUGCUCGAGACUAAGGAAGCAAGAGGAAGAGUGAGGGUCGACAGGCAAAGAAUGGCUUGAGUGAAAGCUGGAGUGGCACAAGACAGAUUGAAAGCAAAGGGAAUAGCUCAUAUGGAAAGAUACAUAUAUAGUAAAUUGAAUUUGAAAGAUACCCGUAAUAAGCGAUAUUCUAAAAGAUUCAGAAUGAAUGAAGACUUUCUAAUAACAUAGGGUUCCCGUGCAGCCAAUGGGAUUGGGGGAGUAGUUCAUAGUUCCCCUCUAGCCAAUCCUAAAAGUUCUUCUGCCUUCGAUCCAGUGGUAAGCCUUUCAAGUUUCCAGCCAGUAGACAAGAAAUUCUGUACUGUAAGUAAGAGACUAGGGAUAGCCAUCAGAAAAGGGGAAGCCUGUCUCAAUCAGUACUUCUUUUUUUGGAAAGCCAGGUUUUUUUAUAUGAAACUCAGGCAAGAAGACGAAAAGACGUUCACGUUACCAAUUCCGUCUCGUCUGAUCUUUUUUUUAUUGGUUUUGUUUUUUCUCUCGUGCCCUUCCGGGUGGUACAAAGAACUGAUGUAGGGGUUGCCGCUCCUUACCUUAGUUCAUCUCUCGGUAGAACAAGGCACCUAUGCGGUGGGUUCGACUCCCACAGGAGCGUACAUUUCCAAUCGAUUUGGUACUUUUCUUGAUUCAGAGUUCUUGCUGUCCAUUACAGAUUCUUUAGCGAUGUAAAGCCAUCAGGCAGUAGACCGGCAAGGGAACGGCUGUCUCGGUAUUCGUUCUUGAAUCAGUGACUGAGAGUAAGGGCUAGUGAUUCAUCUAAUCAGACUAGUGGGGCAUCUUUCUUUUCGUAGUAAGCAACUCUAUUGAGAAAGCUCUUUCUUGAUCGAAGUAAAGAAUCAUUGUAGUUCCUCUUUAGGCGAGCUACUUCGUUCCUAUUCUCCGAUUCUGAAUAGGAUCAGGUUGUAAUGAACCAAAAAUACUUCGCUAAGGUUCAACCGUUUCGCUACGGUUUUCUUCCAAUUUCUUCUAAGGAAGUAAAAUAAAAGAAAGAAAAUAAAGGCCUUAUAAGCUUUCUCUGUAUGGAAAAAGGAAGAAGAUGCUGCUUCGGCUUCCGUUUCUAGCUCUGCUUGAGCUGCUUCGUCUGUUUCUCUUGAUGUGGAUGUCGGUGAGUCAGAUCUCUUCUCUCACUUUCGGAGCACAGUUGGUCCUCAAUUUGAAAACCGACAAAGGUGACUUCUUCCUUAUUCACGCCUUGAUGCACCGCACCUUUUUCGUGUUCAAUCUCGCCUGAGAGCAGUGCAUCGAUACCAUUCGUCUUGAAGAGCCUAUAUAAGCCCUGACCGAAGAGAAUCCUUUGAUAUCCGUCUUGCCUUCUCAGUCCUCCUUCUCAUCCCAUAGGUCUCAGGGUCCCCUCCACCGACCCUUGUACUAUAGGUUUCCGGGCGUGAGCCAAACCUAGGGCUUGGAUCGAAAUAUAGCUUUGCUUCCUUUUUUUCUUUAGUCAGAAAGAGUUCCCAGCUUAUAGUAAAGGCUAUAAUAGUUCUAGUUUUCUUUCUCAUUAGGGAAGGCGGGCUCGCAAGCCUAGCCUUAUUUUUAGCGGCCGGGAGCUAAUGUGAGAGGCAUCGGCAGCCUCAACCACGGUUCAAGCACCGGCUCACGACAGAGCUUGAUCAUACCUGGACCUACUUCAUUUUCUACUCCUGUAGGUUAGGUUACCGAUUUUCCUCCGACGAUGACUCUAGGUGAGGGACUUAGGCCUAUCAACGGCAUUCUGGACCUGCCUUUCUUCUCACUUGAUAACAGAUCAUCUAGCUCUCUUUUAUAGUAUAGUAAAAGUCUAUCUGGGCACGGAAGCUAAGCGGGCUAAGAAAAAGGCUUAAUAAGAUGAGUGGGGAAGAAAAAGUAUAGCAUUCAUUCCGAACUGAUUCUAAGAAUCGCUAUUAGAUGCUUCUGCAGAUUCGUAUGUUGCUCUAAUUGAAGCAAGGGCUAAGGGUUCGGUGGGUGCAGGCCGGUCAGCCAUCAGUCUCAGAUCCAUUCCCGCAUUCUCUUAUUAUGUAGUCUUGCUCACUUGACGAUUCGGAAGAUGAGGAUAAGAAGAAAGGAUAAAGAGCAGGAUCGUGAGGAUGCCCCCUAGAGGAAGGUGGCUCUAGACCUCCUGUUUAGAAGAAUGAAUUUCCAUUCUUUUGUUGGUUUUCUGUUCACUUUGAAUCAGCCUACGUCGUCUCUCUUCCCUCACAAUCAUCAGUGUCUGAAGUUUCAUGAUGAAUAUUGGUUUCACAUUUUAUUGCUGUAGUGAGGAAAUAGAACCAGAUGAUACUAAAAAUUUGUAUUUGAGUUCUGAUGAGGAGUGAGGUAGAUUCGCAUUGUUGAAGAAAGCGAAGAAAAAGGAUGCUGCUAUGGCUUGCUUGUGGCUCUUUCUUCUAUUGGCUAGUCUCAGGCAUGAGAGUUUAAAUUUCUUUUGAAAAGCAAGUGCGGCUCAGUCAUAAGUGUUAGUAAUAGCAUGAAGAUUGAUAAGUUGUCGGUUCCAAGAGAGCAUAAAAAGAUCCGGUCACAAGGAAAGUUUCGUAAUCAAAACUUUGUAUUUGUAUCAAGUAAAAUCAAAGUUACGGUAAUAAUAAAAGUAUCCUUCUUUCCGAUAAAUAAAACUAAAAAGACUAUGAUAAGUUCCCCAAGGAAAUGCGCCAGUUCGUCACAAUCAAUCUUCGAAAAAGUCGAGAAAAAAGAAAGACUCAACAUCGAAUCUAGUCUUUGCUUUAUGUCUUUUACUAUUACUAUUAUUUAUAGAAAGGCAUCCUCUCUAUACUCUAAACCCUUAUCGGGGAGAAGUCACUCUUCUAAGUGCUAUAUACGAGCAAAGGGAGGAGGUCUCUAUGGAUAGAGUUCUAUCAGAACCCAACCCUGAAAGCUAUGACAUUACGGGCCACAACGGAUGAAGUGGCGGAGAUCGGAGAAAGCGGAAAAACUCAGACAGCUACUAAAGAAGACUCGGUCCUAUAAUGCCGAGUUCCUAGUUAAAGUUAUGGUUACUACCCGGAGAGGAAAGUGAUUCAGAUUAUGAAGUUUCCGAGAGGCGCCUAAGGCUAAGAUAAGGUUAGGGAAAGAAGAAGACAACAAGAUUAUGGCUGGCAGCCAACUCAUCGAAUUCGAUUUCCACCGAAACAGGUUGGAUUCGGAAACCAGAAAAGCUAACUAGAAUCCUUCUUUUCCUUCAGAUAGUGCUCUGUUCAGUGAAUGCCUGUAGAGAAGAGAUGGAAGGCAGGUGUUACCCUUGUCAAAGGUAAAGGGACUAUUUCGGCUUAUUAUGGAGCAACAUUGACUAUUUGAUACAUUGGCUAUUUGCUACUUCAACCAUAUCGGCAUUCUAGCGUUUGGUAGAGGUACAUGCAGGUUUUUCUCUAGAGAAACCCAUAUGUUUUAGCUACAUUCUGCCUUCUCAUCUAGUUUGGUUUGCUCUGCCCGGAUCUGGUAACUGCUUCUUCUUUGGAAAUUUUGCAAUCAAGUGCAGGAUGAAAUGGAAGAUAAUCAAUGGAAUCCAAGUAUCUUUGCCUUCCUUCUUCGCUUAUUAUCUUUGGCCAAUGUCCCAAGAAUAGGUUGAGAGAGAAUAUCCCCUAGCUUGACUUCCAACUCUUCACAGAGCAGUCGAUUCGGUCAUCACAUGUUACUGGUUGGAUGACGAUCGGAAAACUCUUAGUAGGUUGGGAUCAAGAAGAAGGAUUGGUGCCGGACAAGAGAUAAGAAUAGAGAGAGUGUGUAAUCAAAGCAAGGGAUAACGGUCAAGUGCACAUUUCAUUCAUGUCAAGGCUAUCUGAAAAGCAAGGGAAAUCAUGAUUCAUUGGAUUGGCAAAUCAGACAGAUUUAAGAGCUAUACUUGGCUAAAGCAUAAGACAAUACUGCGGUGAAAGCCUUAAGCCAGGAAAAUAAAAAAAUGUUAAUGAAUUAUUGACCCUAGUCUAAAGGUACCAGUAUCUUUCCCAAGCACCAACUCGCUUUCGAUUUUUUAUGUGGGCUCCCUUUUCCUUGUGUUAAAAGUGCCAACUUCUUAGUUUUCGUACUUGAAUUCGGAAUUGGCAAAACUUGAUCCUAUUUGACCUACUGUAUAGAUAGCCCUAUUUAAUAAGUUGCUCCUAUUUUGGUAUUUCGUGCAUCCGUUUCCACCAUCCAUUUCUGCCUCCUGGCAGAAAUGCAGGGAAUGUGUAUCGUUCUAGUCUCUUCGAAUCAAUCAAUAUGACUAUCGGAAGAAGAAUAACUACCUUCUCGAAUCGAAAUCAAGACUCUUCUCUUGCGGGAAGCGUAAGUAGUGGAAUGAGGCUGGAACCCAUCAAUAUCGCUAAACCUGGAGAGUUGCUUGUGUUGGGUUCAAAGUUUCGCUCUACCAAGGCAAGGCAAGAUAUAAUAUAAUACGCAUCCAGCUUUAGCUGAAUAUAGUGAGUGUUAAGCAAAGUACAGUACGCCUUUAGUUAAGAUUUAUCCCAGUUUAGUUCCUUUUUAGUUUAGUUAAGCCAUUUAGUUUAGUUACGUGAAGUCGGCCCUCGAGUCUUAGUAGAGUAGCCUAAAGCAGUGGAAACUUGCCAUGCAUUCUACUCAAUAGGGAAGUUAAGUUAUAGAAGUCUUUCUUCCUCUUCUGGUGAAGCUAGCUACUGUCGUUUCUAUUGGUUUCUCAAGAGGCUCAAGGUCUUGCUCUACCUAAUCCGAUCUAGUUCCGGUCUGUAAUGAUGGAUAGGAAGGGUUGAGAGAACUACGUAUCUCGCCUAGCAUUUGUGUGUGCGCACCUGCUUUUGGGCGGUUAGCGAAACGAAAGUAAAGACAGCUAUGUGUGAUGAAGUAAGCCCUACGAUGCUCGGUUAAGUAAAGACUGCUGUUAUCUCAUACAAAACAAGGACUCGGGAGAAGAACUAGUUAUCCCCAGAGGGGGAACUAUGAUUCUCUCAGAUGUGUCUAUCGAUAUAGAUCAAGUUGAGUGUUCAGCGAAGUAUGCUAGCCAUUGGCCUUACGUUCAGGAUACUCCUUCCUGUCCUUGCGAUGUUUGGUUAAGUGUUAUCAAUCAGCUUUCCUCUUCUUCCAGCAUUCUUCUAAUCAUUGGUUUGCCUCUAACGAUGGUUGAAUAGCUCCUGUUGUUUGUCUCCACCUUCCUUCUCCCUGUAAGUUGUCCUCAUACUCCCAGUUCUUUCUCUUCUUUCUUUUCUUCCUCUACGACUUUACUAUACUAUAUUAUUCUUGAAUAAGCUAGUGAUUAUCUGUGGCUUACAGUAUGGUAUACCGAGGGCUAACUCCACUACUUCAGAUUGUUGAAUCGAAUAUACCUUCUUUAUAACUAGCUUAGAGUAUUUGAACCUGUUACGUCGAUUGCUGAACCACUUUGACGCUUUGGCUUUGGCUCUGGCUUUUCCUAUAUCUGAAUGUUUCGGAAGAGUCCGUGGCUAUCCUGCGCGAAAGAGGAAGAACUCAACUCUUUGCAAAAAAAGGAGCAUCGCUCUAAUCACUUAUGGUUGUUCCUUUCCAGGAUGGAUGGCUACUGCAUAUUAUCAUAUAGAAAUCAAAUGAAAACCCUACUGAAUUAGGCAAACGAUUAUUCGCAUCGUUGCUUAGGUGCUCUAACAAGCCGCAAUUGGUUAGAGAUUGGAUCAAGUUCCAGGCUUUUUAAAAAGUGCCUUCCAGCUUACUUAAUUGACUCGCAUGGGCUUUCUCGCUAUAAACGAACUAAACGAAGCGCCUAAAGAGAGAGAUCCGCGGGACACCAGUCAAUAAAGUAAAGAGAGAGUAUUCUCUUAUGUAGUCUUAUUCGUUCCCACCCCCUUGUGGGUGCUGCUCAAGCAGCUCAGGAGGCGCCAACCCCACAACCACAGGUAGAAAGAGUUCCAGGUGCGGCGUCUAGAUCAGGGACUAGUGGCCCGUCCUGUUCGGAUGUAAAGGAAAGAUGCAAAUCUUUUCUCAAACAGUGGGGAAAGGGCCCCAUACGUCAAAGCCAGAUAAAGAAUCUCCAACAAGAUUCGAAAUUGGAUCAUUCAAGUCCAAAGGAUAGAGAAGAAAUCCUCAUGGUCACCAGAAGAUUUUUCAUCGAGACAAAACGCUGCUAACGCUGUAGUAUUGGAAUAUUGGGACUACUAUACUACUGCGAGCGGAAAAAAAAGAAAAACCUUCUAUCGACUAGAGUUUGAUGUCGAUUUAUCCACACUUCCAUGACUUCUAGAGGAAAGCUAACUGCUUGCUGGCUGGGAGCUGUAUGAGAGGUAACGUCCACGUACGGCUCCGUGAGAAGGUGGACGAAAAUUUGUUGUAUCUCACUCCCGUCUUCAAUGGGGUCUAGUCUUUUUUUUGGGAGAGUAUGCCAAUAUGAUCUUAAUGAGGUGCGGGCUUUGCAUCUGACAUUCGUUGGGCUUUCCUCUGCGUCCCGGCCUUUUUGUGCAAUAAACCCCUCCGGCCGAAGACUAGUGAUAGGUGGUCCCGCGGAGCUUUCGAAGAAGGGUAGCCUAGUGUGUAAGCACAGCAAUGAACCGCGACGAACCCUCAGACGACCCUUCUAAGAUAAGGGGGAGACCCUCAGUAGUGGUGACCCUUUGACUCUUCCACUGACUUAUAUAUGUACCGAAUGCUCAUAUAGGAAAGUGAACUCCUGGGUCUGGGGGUUGCUCCGAAAAAAAUCCUUUCUUUCUCGUCCACUCCAGGGGUGCGGGCACACCUGCACGGAUUACAGGUUACGGUUACAAGAAUGGCAUGGAAGUGAAGAGUACCCGACGACAUUCAGGGAUGAAUGUAGACCCAUCGGGCAGGGAUAAUCAUUCCGUUCCUGGGAGAGGUGGCGACACCAGUCUGAGCUGACGGAAGCCAGCCAAUUGAGUCACUGAAACGACCGCAGGAGGCGCACCCUAAGCCUGAGAGCACCUAGAGGGAGGGGGUGAAUAGGUGAUCCUGUAAAACUUGAACUUAAUGCCACAAAAACUUGGUUAAACGUUAGCACAGUAUUGCCAAGUGGCUAGAGAGGAGUCUUAGCGAAACACAAUAACCACAAGAGAAUCAACACAGGUAGACACAAUGGUUUAUCCCGUGGUUCGGCCAAGUACAACACUUGCCUACUUCCACGUUGUGGUGUCCCAACGGACGAGUGUUGCAAUCAACCCCUCUCAAGCGGUCUAAAGACCCACUUGAAUACCACGGUGUUUGCUUUUCUUUUCUAUAUCCCGUUCGCGAUGAAUCUCCACAACUUGGAGUCUCUCGUCCUUACAAAGAUGUUCACAAAGAAGCACAGAGUAAGGGAGGGAUUAGCAACUCACACAAGACACAAAGAUCACAGCAAAUACGCACACACAAGACCCAGACUUAAGCUCAAAAGACUAGCACACUAGAACGGAGCUCAAAUCACUAGAAUGUCGAACAAGUGCGUAAGAAUGGAGUGUGAGUGAUCAAGAGUGCUCAAGGAAUGCUUGGUGUGCUCCUCCAUGCGCCUAGGGGUCCCUUUUAUAGCCCCAAGGCAGCUAGGAGUCGUUGAGAGCAAUCCGGGAAGGCAAUUCUUGCCUUCUGUCGCCUGGCGCACAGGACAGUCUAGUGCACCACCGGACACUGUCCGGUGCAGAUUUCCUUCCUUAUUUGGCGAAGCCGACCGUUGGCAGCCUUGGAGCCGUUGGCGCACCAGACACUGUCCGGUGCACACCGGACAGUCCGGUGCCCCCUCCCGACCGUUGGCUCGGCCACGUGUCUCGCGCGGAUCGCGCAGCCGACCGUUGGCCCGGCCGACCGUUGGCUCACCGGACAGUCCGGUGCACACCAGACAGUCCGGUGAAUUAUAGACGUACGCCGUUAAUUCCUUCCCGAGAGCAGCUAGUUUGCCUGAGCCAGCCUAGCGCACCGGACACUGUCCGGUGCACCCAGACAGAGCUGGCUUUGGCUGAAACAAAGCUAUCUCUCUCCAAUUUUUUUUCUCCUGUUUCCAGCACUUAGACACAAUACAUUAGUCUCUAAAACAAUGCACUAAGUCUGAGAAACAUACCUUUAUACUUGAUUUGUACUUUGUCCACCAUUUGACACUUAGGCACUUGUGUUGGACACUAAAUCACCAAAACACUUAGAAAUGGCCCAAGGGCACAUUUCCCUUUCAAUCUCCCCCUUUUUGGUGAUUUAUGCCAACACAACAUAAAGCAAGUAGAACAAGUACAAAAUCAAUUCAAAUAAGAACUCAAAAUUAUUUUGAUUCAUAUUUGGCAUAUAUGGAUCACUCUUUGCCACCACUUGGUUUGUUUUUGCAAAUCAAACUCAAAUUUCUAUCUCUAAGUCAAACACACUUGUUAAGACAUAAAGAGAGCCAUUCCAAGAGAAAUUGAUUCAAGAUUUCAAAAACUCCCCCUUUUUCCCAUAAUCAACACUUCUCCCCACAAGAAGCCAACUUUUGACAAACAGAGCCAAUAAGAGUAUUUUGACAAAACAAAAGAUUUUGAUAAAACAAAAGCUCUAUUCUAUUAUUUUCAAAAUUCUCAAGUGGUAGCUGAUCCAUUUAUUGCUUUGGCCUUUAUUUUCUCCCCCUUUGGCAUCAAGCACCAAAACGGGAUCAAUCUUGGCCCCAGAACCCCAUUGCCUCACCAAAGUCUUCAAUAAGAAUACAAAGGCAAUAAGAGUAUGUGAGAUGAACUUGGAAUAAGUUACCCUCUCAUCAGAGUGCAGUGGAAGUCUUGCAAGGUCCAAGUUCACUUUUUCCCUUUCAAUCCUCCUUUGAGACUAAAUUAAGCAAACUCAAGCACACAGUUAGUCUCAAGGGGUCAAGUUGUAGCACAUCUCCCCCUAAAUUUGUGCAUCACUUGCAAAUGGACUUGGAAGGUCCGGGGAGUGCUUGUACAACUUGAGCACCAUAAAUAAACAGCAAAAUGCAUAAGGAACAUGAUCAAAGGCAUAAACACAUGUAUGCUAUAAAUCAAUCCAAGUUCCGCGAAUCUAAGACAUUUAGCUCACUAUGCAACUUGCAAAAGGUCUGCUCAUCUAAAGGCUUGGUAAAGGUAUCGGCUAGCUGGUUCUCGGAGCUAACUUGAAACACUUCGAUAUCUCCCUUUUGCUGGUGGUCUCUCAGAAAGUGAUGCCGGAUGUCUAUGUGCUUUGUGCUGCUGUGUUCAACCGGAUUAUCCGCCAUGCGGAUAGUACUCUCAUUAUCACAUAGGAGUGGGACUUUGCUCAGAUUGUAGCCAAAGUCCCUGAGGGUUUGCCUCAUCCAAAGUAGUUGCACGCAACACUGUCCUGCGGCAACGUACUCGGCCUCAGCGGUGGAUAGGGCAACGGAGGUUUGUUUCUUAGAACUCCAUGACACCAGGGACCUUCCUAAGAAUUGGCACGUCCCCGAUGUACUCUUCCUAUCGACCUUACAUCCAGCAUAGUCGGAGUCUGAAUAUCCAAUCAAGUCAAAGGUAGACCCCUUUGGAUACCAGAUCCCGAAACAAGGCGUAGCGACUAAAUAUCUAAGAAUUCGCUUCACAGCCACUAAGUGACACUCCUUAGGAUCGGAUUGAAAUCUAGCACACAUGCAUACACUAAGCAUAAUAUCCGGUCUACUAGCACAUAAAUAAAGUAAAGACCCUAUCAUAGACCGGUAUGCCUUUUGAUCAAUGGACUUACCUCCUUUGUUGAGGUCGGUGUGUCCGUCGGUUCCCAUUGGAGUCUUUGCGGGCUUGGCGUCCUUCAUCCCAAACCGCUUGAUCAAGUCUUGCAUGUACUUGGUUUGAGAGAUAAAGGUUCCAUCCUUGAGUUGCCUCAGUUGGAAACCAAGGAAGUAGCUUAACUCGCCCAUCAUUGACAUCUCGAAUUUCUGCGUCAUCACCCUGCUAAACUCUUCACAAGACUUUUGGUUAGUAGAACCAAAUAUUAUGUCAUCGACAUAAAUUUAGCACACAAAAAGAUCACCAUCACAAGUCUUAGUAAAAAGAGUUGGAUCUGCUUUCCCAACCUUGAAAGCAUUAGCAAUUAAAAAGUCUCUAAGGCAUUCAUACCAUGCUCUUGGGGCUUGCUUAAGUCCAUAGAGCGCCUUAGAGACCUUACACACGUGGUCGGGGUGUCGUUCAUCCUCGAAGCCAGGGGGGUUGCUCCACGUACACCUCCUCCUUGAUUGGCCCGUUGAGGAACGCGCUCUUCACAUCCAUUUGGAACAACCUGAAGAAAUGGUGAGCGGCAUAUGCUAGCAAAAUACGAAUGGACUCUAGCCUAGCCACAGGAGCAAAAGUCUCCUCAAAGUCCAAACCUGCGACUUGGGCAUAACCUUUUGCCACAAGUCAUGCCUUGUUCCUUGUCACCACCCUGUGCUCGUCUUGUUUGUUGCGAAACACCCACUUGGUUCCCACAACAUUUUGCUUGGGACGAGGCACCAGUGUCCAAACUUCAUUCCUCUUGAAGUUGUUGAGCUCCUCCUGCAUGGCCAACACCCAGUCCGGAUCUAGCAAGGCCUCCUCUACCAUGAAAGGCUCAAUAUAAGAGACAAAGGAGUAAUGCUCACAAAAAUAACUAAUCGAGACCGAGUUGUUACUCCCUUGCUAAUGUCACCCAAAAUUUGGUCGACGGGAUGAUCCCUUUGAAUCGUCGCUCAAACUUGGGUUGGAGGUGCCGGUUGUGCUUCUUCCUCCAUCACAUGAUCAUCUUGUGCUCCCCCUUGAUCACACGCCUCCUCCUGUUCAUCGUCUUGAGUUGGGGGAUGCACCAUUGUUGAGGAAGAAGGUUGAUCUUGUUCCUGUGGUCGUACAUCACCAAUCGCCAUGGUUCGUAUAGCAGCUGUCGGAACAUCUUCUUCAUCUACAUCAUCAAGAUCAAUAACUUGCUCUCGUGGAGAGCCAUUAGUCUCAUCAAAUACAACGUCGCUAGAGACUUCAACCAAACCCGAUGAUUUGUUGAAGACUCUAUACGCCUUUGUAUUUGAGUCAUAACCUAAUAAAAACCCUUCUACAGCUUUGGGAGCAAAUUUAGAAUUCCUACCCUUCUUCACUAGAAUGUAGCAUUUACUCCCAAAAACUCGAAAAUACGAAACAUUGGGUUUGUUACCGGUUAGUAGCUCAUACGACGUCUUCUUAAGGAGGCGGUGAAGGUAGACCCGGUUGAUGGCGUGGCAAGCUGUGUUCACAGCUUCCGACCAAAAGCGCUCGGGGGUCUUGAACUCUCCAAGCAUCGUCCUCGCCAUAUCAAUUAGCAUCCUGUUCUUUCUCUCUACCACACCAUUUUGCUAUGGUGUGUAGGGAGCGGAGAACUCGUGCUUGAUCCCUUCCUCCUCAAGAUACUCCUCCACUUGAAGGUUCUUGAAUUCGGACCCAUUGUCGCUCCUUAUCUUCUUCACCUUGAGCUCAAACUCGUUUUGAGCUCUCCUUAGGAAGCGCUUGAGGGUCCCAUGGGUUUCAGAUUUAUCCUGCAAAAAGAAUACCCAAGUGAAGCGGGAAAAGUCAUCAACUAUAACAAGACCAUACUUACUUCCUCCUAUACUUAGAUAGGCGACAGGUCCGAAGAGGUCCAUGUGAAGCAUCUCCAAAGGUCUUGAUGUGGUCAUCACAUUUUUGGUGUGAUGAGAGCUUCCCACUUGUUUGCCUGCUUGACAAGCUGCACAAGGUCUAUCUUUUUCGAAUUGCACAUUAGUUAAACCUAUCACGUGUUCUCCCUUUAGAAGCUUGUGAAGGUUCUUCAUCCCCACAUGUGCUAAGCGGCGAUGCCACAGCCAGCCCAUGCUAGUCUUAGCAAUUAAGCAUGCAUCUAGACCGGCCUCCUCUUUUGCAAAAUCAACUAAAUAAAGUUUGCCGUCUAAUACACCCUUAAAAGCUAAUGAACUAUCACUUCUUCUAAAGACAGACACAUCUACAUUUGUGAAUAGACAAUUAUAUCCCAUAUUGCAUAAUUGACUAACAGAUAACAAAUUAUAUCCAAGAGACUCAACUAAAAACACAUUAGAUAUAGAGUGCUCGGAUGAAAUAGCAAUUUUACCUAACCCUUUUACCUUGCCUUGAUUCCCAUCACCGAAUAUUAUUGAAUCUUGGGAAUCCUUGUUUUUGACGUAGGAGGUGAACAUCUUCUUCUCCCCCGUCAUAUGGUUUGUGCAUCCGCUGUCGAUAAUCCAGCUUGAACCCCCGGAUGCAUAAACCUGCAAGGCAAAUUUAGGCUUGGGUCUUAGGUACCCAACUCUUGUUGGGUCCUACAAGGUUAGUCACAAUUGUCUUAGGGACCCAAAUGCAAGUUUUGUCUCCCUUGCAUUUUGCCCCUAAUUUUCUAGCAACUAUCUUCCUAUCCUUUCUACAAAUGGCAAACGAAGCAUUUAAAGCAUGAUAUAUUGUAGAAGGUUCAUUAACUUUCCUAGGAACAUUAACAAUGUUUCUCCUAGGCAUAUGAACAAAAUAUCUCCUAGACAUAUCUUUACCAUGCAUAUAGGAAGAACUAGAAGCAAACAUGGCAUGAGAGUCAAAAGCAUCAUAAGCAUUACAACUCUUAUAAGACUGUCUUAUAUCAUGGUACAUAAAAGCAUGGUUCCUUUUAGCACUACUAGCCAUAGGGGCCUUCCCUUUCUCCUUGGUGGGGAUGGGAGCCUUAUGGCUUGUUAAGUUCUUGGCUUCCCUCUUAAAACCAAGUCCAUCCUUAAUUGAGGGGUGUCUACCAAUCGUGUAGGCAUCCCUUGCAAAUUUUAACUUAUCAAAUUCGCUUUUGCUAGUCUUAAGUUGGGCAUUAAGACUAGCUACUUCAUCAUUCAAUUUAGAAAUUGAAACUAGGUGUUCACUACAAGCAUCAAUAUUAAAAUAUUUACACCUAGUGCAAACCACAACAUGUUCUACACAAGAUGUUGAUUUAUUAGCUAUUUCUAACUUAGCAGUCAAGUCAUCGUUUAUGCUUUUUAAACUAGAAAUAGAGUCAUGGCAUGUAGACAAUUCACAAGAAAGCAUUUCAUUCCUCUUUAUUUCUAAAGCAAGGGAUUUUUGAGCUUCUACAAACUUGUCAUGUUCAUCAUAUAAGAGAUCCUCUUGCUUUUCUAGCAAUCUAUUCUUAUCAUUCAAAGCAUCAAUCAGUUCAUUUAUUUUAUCCACCUUGGAUCUAUCUAGACCCUUGAAUAAACAUGAAUAAUCUAUUUCAUCAUCAUCACUAGACUCAUCCUCACUUGAAGAAGCAUAAGUACUAGUGUUACGAGUGCUUACCUUCUUUUCCCUUGCCAUGAGACAAGUGUGAUGCUCGUUGGGGAAGAGGGAUGACUUGUUGAAGGCAGUGGCGGCGAGUCCUUCGUUGUCGGAGUCGGACGACGAACAAUCCGAGUCCCACUCCUUGCCAAGAUGUGCCUCGCCUUUUGCCUUCUUAUAAUUCUUCUUCUUCUCCCUUUUGUUCCCUUCUUCCUGGUCACUAUCAUUGUCAGGACAGUUAGCAAUAAAAUGACCAACCUUACCACAUUUGAAGCAUGAGCGCUUCCCCUUUGUCUUGGUCUUGCUUGGCUGCCCCUUGCGACCCUUUAGCGCUGUCUUGAAGCGCUUGAUGAUGAGGGCCAUCUCUUCGUCAUUAAGCCCGGCCGCCUCAACUUGCGCCACCUUGCUAGGUAGCGCCUCCUUGCUCCUCGUUGCCUUGAGAGCAAUGGGUUGAGGCUCAUGGAUUGGACCGUUCAACGCGUCGUUGACAUAUCUCGUCUCCUUGAUCAUCAUUCGCCCGCUUACAAAUUUUCCAAGAACUUCUUCGGGCGACAUCUUGGUGUACCUAGGAUUUUCACGGAUAUUGUUCACCAAAUGUGGAUGAAGUACAGUAAAGGACCUUAGCAUUAGACGAACGACGUCGUGGUCCGUCCAUCGUGUGCUUCCGUAGCUCCUUAUCUUGUUGAUGAGGGUCUUGAGCCGGUUGUAUGUUUGGGUUGGCUCCUCUCCCCUGAUCAUUGCAAAUCUUCCAAGCUCUCUUUCCACCAACUUCAUUUUGGUGAGUAAGGUGACGUCGUUCCCCUCAUGUGAGAUCCUGAGGGUGUCCCAGAUCUGCUUGGCAUUGUCCAAGCCGCUCACCUUAUGAUACUCGUCCCUGCACAAAGAGGCUAACAACACAGUAGUAGCUUGUGCAUUUCUAUGAAUCUGUUCAUUGAUAAACAUAGGACUAUCCGAGCUAUCGAAUUUCAUUCAACUUUCCACAAUCUCCCAUAUGCUCGGAUGGAGAGAGAACAGGUGACUACGCAUUUUGUGGCUCCAAAAUCCGUAGUCCUCUCCAUCAAAGUGAGGAGGUUUGCCAAGUGGAAUGGAGAGCAAAUGAGCAUUUGUACUUUGCGGAAUACGAGAGUAGUCAAAAGAAAAGUUCGAAUUAACCAGUUUCCUUCUCUCGUAGUCGUUGUCGUCGUUGUCCUUUUGGGAAGAAGUGGACUCAUCGCUGUCGUCGUAGUAGACGAUCUCCUUGAUGCGUCUUGUCUUCUUCUUCUUCCCAUCUUUGCGUUUGUGGCCCGAGCCCGAGUCGGUAGGCUUGUCAUCCUUGGGCUCGUUGACGAAUGACUCCUUCUCCUUGUCAUUGAUCACAAUCCCCUUGCCCUUAGGAUCCAUCUCUUCGGGCGGUUAGUCCCUUUCUUGAAGAUAAGAGCUUCGAUACCAAUUGAGAGCACCUAGAGGGGGGUGAAUAGGUGAUCGUGUAAAACUUGAACUUAAUGCCACAAAAACUUGGUUAAACGUUAGCACAGUAUUGCCAAGUGGCUAGAGAGGAGUCUUAGCGAAACACAAUAACCACAAGAGAAUCAACACAGGUAGACACAGUGGUUUAUCCCGUGGUUCGGCCAAGUACAACACUUGCCUACUUCCACGUUGUGGUGUCCCAACGGACGAGAGUUGCAAUCAACCCCUCUCAAGCGGUCCAAAGACCCACUUGAAUACCACGGUGUUUGCUUUUCUUUUCUAUAUCCCGUUUGCGAGGAAUCUCCACAACUUGGAGUCUCUCGCCCUUACAAAGAUGUUCACAAAGAAGCACGGAGUAAGGGAGGGAUUAGCAACUCACACAAGACACAAAGAUCACAGCAAAUACGCACACACAAGACCCAGACUUAAGCUCAAAAGACUAGCACACUAGAACGGAGCUCAAAUCACUAGAAUGUCAAACAAGUGCGUAAAAAUGGAGUGUGAGUGAUCAAGAGUGCUCAAGGAAUGCUUGGUGUGCUCCUCCAUGCGCCUAGGGGUCCCUUUUAUAGCCCCAAGGCAGCUAGGAGCCGUUGAGAGCAAUCUAGGAAGGCAAUUCUUGCCUUCUGUCGCCUGGCGCACCGGACAGUCCGGUGCGGAUUUCCUUCCUUAUUUGGCGAAGCCGAUCGUUGGCAGCCUUGGAGCCAUUGGCGCACCGGACACUGUCCGGUGCACCCUCCCGACCGUUGGCUCGGCCACGUGUCUCGCGCGGAUCGCGUAGCCGACCGUUGGCCCGGCCGACCGUUGGCUCACCGGACAGUCCGGUGCACACCGGACAGUCCGGUGAAUUAUAGUCGUACGCCGUUAAUUCCUUCCCAAGAGCAGCUAGUUUGCCUGAGCCAGCCUGGCGCACCGGACACUGUCCGGUGCACCACCGGACAGUCCGGUGCACCAAGACAGAGCUGGCUUUGGCUGAAACAAAGCUAUCUCUCUCCAAUUUAUUUUCUCCUGUUUCCAGCACUUAGACACAAUACAUUAGUCUCUAAAACAAUGUACUAAGUCUGAGAAACAUACCUUUAUACUUGAUUUGUACUUUGUCCACCAUUUGACACUUAGGCACUUGUGUUGGACACUAAAUCACCAAAACACUUAGAAAUGGCCCAAGGGCACAUUUCCCUUUCAAAGCCCAGCUUCUCGGAGCUGCUAUUGCGAAAUACGGCUUCCUUAAUAUACAAAUUUCCACAAGGGGGCUGGGCUGCUCGCCUUCAUAGAAAGGCGACCGGGCCUAGAUUAGAUGUUCGUCUUUUAUUUGACGUAUUCGACCUGGCGCCCCAAACAGAAGGCAGAUACUGGCAGAUCUACUCCUUUCCUAUACUAUACUAUACCGCCCCGAUACCCAGUUUCCUUGGGUAAGAACAGAGAUGAAGUCCGUCCCUUAGCCUAGUCUAUAUCCACUAAUGUUGUUGUUUUAUAGAGGAAGACUGUCUUCUCGGGGAAGACAGGCUUUCGAGGACAAAAGGAAAGAUACAUGAAAAAAUCCCAACUUAAAGUAGUGGAAUUGCCAAGCCUAUCGGGUAAGCGAACUGUCUAAGACUGGCGAAGGGAAAGGACUGGUAGGAAACCCAAACUCGGAUAGUUGGGGAAAGGAAUGCAAGUAUGCCAAUGAUAAAGAGUAACCAUCACGCACUUUUCCAGUAGGAAUACAGGCAUUUCGACCUAUCUUUUUUUACUUUGUUAGGGACUCAUUCUUUCUAGCGUACAGUGGCACUUGUCACCAGCUCUGCAACUCGUACAGCUAUUUCUUCCUCCUUUUAACCUACAACAGCGCUAUACCUACUAUUCUCUGGCCUUAUCUUUCAAGAAUGUGCUUGCGCCAGUUGAUCUUUCGGGUAUGAAGCCUAGACAAGUAGAAGGGGAGAGAGUAGCGAGUUGACGAGCGAGUGCUCUGCUCUAUCAUUUAUUACAAGAAAAGUCAAGCUUGAAAACUGCUUCUUCUCAACCAGGAUACGAGCCAAUCCCUAGCCUAGAAGCGAGGAGAGAGGGUAUUUCAAAUUCACAAAGCCAAACUGACAAGCGAGAGCCGGUGAGUAAGGUGGAGGCAGAAAGGAAGUUGUAUGAAUCUCUUUUUCCCGGAAAAGUAUACUUGUGAGGAAAUCAAAACCAAGAGGGCGGCAUCGCUUCGCGCCUUGUUUUUCUGGUAAGGAAAGUCCUAUCCUAGCAAUAAGUGAUGAAAGUAGUACCCAAGCCAUUCGUUGGUCUUUGACCCCUGUAAUAAUGGUUGUCCCGAGCUGUAUGAAAAAAAUCGCUAUCCUUCCGCCAACCUAAAUGAAUGGAAAACUUACUAUCUCUAUCUAUAUCUCUUUAUUCAAGUACCGAUCUUAUUUCCCGGCUCCAAAGAGCAUAUUUUAAUAUUCAAAAUAGAAGAGAGAGAAAACAAAAAAAAACAGGAAUUGCGCUAUCGAGUUCACUGCUUUAGAGAGGGUGCGCAGGGUAUCGUCCCUAUCUCCUCGUGCCCUAGGCUUAUGUAUGUGAAAAAGCAAACAAUGCAAUUUUGUGGAAAUUGGAUUCUCAUCCGUGAGGCCCCAAGUGCUACUUCUCAGGGUAAAGGCAAGACAGCUUGAAAGGUGGAAGCUCUCUAUAGUGUCAGUGCGAGUGGAAUAGGUUCGAUCGAUAUUACUUCGGCGUCGGCGGGUACGGUAGUAUUGUUUGAUCCGUUGAGGAGGAUUUUCUUUUCGCUAACUCAAAAGUCUUUUUCUUCUAUCAAGCAAUGUCUCAGUUCCUUUGAUUGAACACGUGGAUGGAGUAGUUCACUCUGGUUUGAGAAAUAGUGUUAGGGCAUUUAAUUUAGUACCAGAACUUCAGAACUGGGGGAAGACCUUAUAUUAAUAUUAGUAGUAAGGACUAUCAACGCGAGUACAUGCACAUUAAUAACAUAGGUUAACAUUCAAUUCAAGAAAGUGAGAUGAGUUACUUUAUGUUGGAAAGGAGUAAAAGUAAGAGAAACAUGCAUACAUUAGUAAGAAAAAAAAGACAUCGAUAUAUGGGUAACAUAGGCCUCCUCCCGUUCAUUAGUCUUGGGUGGGAUGCUAGUGGGGGCUGAGCAUAAAGCCAGGCUCUUUGUCUUCACUUCCUAUCCGUUUUAUACUGUACGAGCCGAGCUUUACGUCCUACUAAUUUAGUCUUUUUCGAUCAGAUGCUAUUCCGACUUCCCAUUUUUCUACUUUUCUGUUGCUAUAUGCGUAAUUCAGGCUCUCUUUAUGCCCAUGCAUGCAUACACAAAGCAAAGAUGACUUGAAGAUGCCUUACCAAGAAACUGGAAUCUCUAAUCCCUCUUUGGAAUACUCAUACUUCCUUCUACAAGGAAGAAACUGAGCAGCAGAGAUUUUGGCAAUAGCAAAUCAAAUGUCAUUUAUCCUGCUAAGGUACUUUACUUUCCCUUGACUUUGAUUGACUUUCCUUUCCAAAGCUAUGAUCAAGGAAGCAGGCCAGGAAUGCUCUUAUGAGAAAUGGAGAAGCAGGAAUGGUAUUCCCAAGCAAAGAUAGAAAGAAGCCUUGCCUUCCCUUAGACCUGGAGACAUAUCCACCAAGAAACCUGAGAAAGCUAUGAAUGAAACUUCACUUAACUUAUAGUGCUUUGUACGCGUUCAUUACAUGAGAUCUGUUUACCUGUAGUGUAGUACAUCCCUCCAGUAUUUGAAUGAGCUUGAUUUCUCGAAUUGGUACAAUGCUCUUCUUGUCUCUUCUUCUAAAGAGUGAGAGUGCUGUAGUGGCGUGUCUCUCUAGUAAGGUACAACUAUACCGGAGCUGAUAUCUCUUCUGUGGGUGAUUCUCCGGUAGAGAAGGCAGUGCUUAAUACUGGUAGUUCGACCUUUCCCAACGGAUGCGAUCCAGACCCUUUCUUGGAAAACCACGGCCUGUUGCUAAGAAGGAAAAGAAGUCCACUCCUGUUGCUCAAGCCCAAGAAGUAUCUGACCCUUGGGAGGCAAAGCACUAGAGAACAGAGAUCAUAGGGGAGGAGCUAUCCCCGAGCUCCGUACCAGAACCAGUUUCUCCAACCUGGCCUUCUUCCUUUCCUUUAGCCUUGCUUUUCUUCUGAUUCAGUCCAAAGUUAGAGACAAAAGAAAGGUAAUUAUUGAAUCGGACUUGGCUUCUUUUUCGGCAUGGGCAAAGGUUUGGCAAUUCCACCAUUAGCAAAGGUUUAAUCGGUUGACGGUAUCCUUGGGGAAAGGCACCUACUUUUAGCAAUGGUUGUUAUUGGCAAAAGGAACACUUUACUCGGCUUGUAGAAAACUCUGGACUAGGCUGAAGCAAUUAGUCUCCCGUGUCAACUACUCAUUUCUGUUUAUCGAUUUUCUAUGCUUUCGUUCCUCUCUUCCCCGAAGAAAGUAUUCCUCGCCUCGCAUAGAAGUCAGUGAAUUGAUGCUCCAAUACGGAUAGAAGUUAGUUCUUCCUCAGGUAAGAGAUCUAAAUCAUGCCAAAAUGAUGGUGCAGUUCAUUCCAAUCCCAAUGCGUCUGUUCGCCUAGCCUACUACCCUAGCCUUUAUCCUACUAUCCUCGUAACUAACUGUAGUUCAUCCAUCGAUAUCCAUUCCUCGGCAUCCGUUAAAGGGUACCUUUAUCCCGUUAAAAGGUUUCAGCUUUAGAAGUGCCGGGUGGGUUUCUCUUUUAAACCAGCCUAAUCGAAUCCAGGAGUAAGGAAUAUACAAUUGGAUGCUUUCCCCCUCCAUACCAGGUAAUGAUUGGUAUGGCAAGGCUAUCCCCAUGAUCAGUUAUCCCAACCGAAUCAUCCCCUAGCGCGAUUCCUAUCCUAAUCAUUCGUUCCUACGAGCCAGAGCAGCAUCCUUUCCUUGAAUUGACGUAUAUGAGCGUUGUUAUCAGGUACGCCAAUAUGAGAUUUUCCGGACUGACUCUUUCCUUUGUUCAUAGAUCGAUCUAAUUACGUAUAUACAGGCUCCGCACCUAGAGGCUCACCUUCUUUCGCCAAUAAUAACGCUAGAGAACGUAGUGAGCGCUAGAGUAGAGAUAUUCCUUUUCAUCUGAGGUUUAUUCCUUCCUAUUCCUUUUACGAGCGCAAUACUAAUCGAAUCCAGUCCCAUGUCUCCGGUUCUGCUCCUAUCCCUCUAACAAAGGCAAAGGGGCACGGUACCAAUGCUAGGCUCUCCUUUUAACAAAGUUAGGAUCAUUCUCAUAUAUGGGCAAAAGUAGUAAACCCGAUUUCCCUUCGGAAAGUAGAUGAUGGAUUUUAAAAAGUUGAUCUCAUAUAGCGGGGAAAUCAAUGAAUAGCAUUUUCACUAAGCUUUGGAAAAGGAAGUGGGUCACCCAUUGCAAAAAAGUUAGGAACACAUAUAGGCGAAAGUACUACUUUUUAAUUCAACUAUAACUGAGCGGAACCUUCCUUUUGGGGCAAGGCACGGCAACAACGGAAAGGUUAACCAGGAUAAAACAAACCUAGUACUACGCCCUCCAAACAGAUCGUAUCCUCGGCUAUUUCAUUAGAAAUAUAAAAAGCAUAUUUCCCUGGCGUCAACCCCGGAGGGUGUAGAAACCAUUUCUUUUCCUUUGCUACUAGAUACGAUGCUUUUCGUGUAGGCUACGCUUUUCGCAAGUAUUGUUUAUUUGUUCCGAAUAGAGUAUGCCUUGGUUUAAGAGAGGAGGCAUCUGGAUAGCUAGGGAUAUUGACACGGAUAAGCUCUUAGGCAAAGCAAGGCAUCUGCCAACUUGUAUGCAUCACCCUGUGCUUUUGCACAUCAAUGGAAAAGAUAGGAACAGCGAAUCCUUGUAGGAGACGGGUUGGUUUACCGGUGCAGUUCAUAUGCUUCCUUGCGCUAGAAACCAAUACGCACGUACGAGGCCUACGAUUCUCUAGUUGUAUUGGCAAGGGAAAGAAGAUGCUAUGGGAAUGUUUGGAAUGAAAUAGCUUAGGAAAGGCAGGAUCUGCUGAUGAAAGUGGGCCGGAGCCAGAACUAGGAUAGGGAUCAGAUUGGGAGCAGGUUAGAUGCAACCGCCGGGAGGACAAUCCGACUUCGAAGUACGAGCAGGGAUAUUCGAUAAAAGGAAUUCCAAUCGGAAUAAAGGGUGAAUUCGAUUAGUUGAACAGGCAGCAGAUGAAGUGAUGGGAGCUAGCUCACUUCCUUCAAUGAACGGAUUUGCCUUGAUUUGAGAUUUCUAAUUGAAUCAAACUCUCGCCCUUUUGAGAUUGAGUUACUUCCUUGCCUGGGCUAGUCGUAAUCCCUUCUUCUGUACAAGAUGGUUAGAGCUAACCCCAGUACUACUCCUUUGGCUGCAGAGUACCACCUCUUCCUCAACUGGAUCUGGUAUUCUUCCUCGAACCAGUGCUUCCUCGGAGGAUGGUUCUACUUACUGUCCCCUCUACUUUAGGUUUGGAGUUCAGCUACACCUUUUGGCUUUGCAUGAAUGCCAUUUUCCUCUGUGUCUCUUUCCUGCGGGUGCUUGGUCUUUUGCUAAACUUGUUAUUUGGCUCUCUUCUUUGUCCCUAGUUCCUGUUUCAUGCCGAGUUUCUAUAACAGUACCUGCAUCCUGCCUUUUAGCUUAUCCGUGGACCAGUGCUCUUUCUUUCCGCUUUGAACGGACGCCUACAACUAGAUAAUUUGUCGGAUGACAAUACAAUACUACAAGCAGGAGGGGACACAAAUCCUUUAGAUUUCGCUAGUGCAACGCUCGUAUUGACCUUUAGCUCGUGGGAAUCAAUCGUAGUUUUGAUUUCAUAUCCUACGUAGUAUUUGCGUGGGCCUCGCUCGUAUGCAAGGAAUAGGUUUAGGAACAGGGCUAGCGAAGGAAGGGACCAAGGAAGGAAUUCGUAGCCCAGAACCUUAAGCAGGAGCUCAUAACUACUACGAAUGGAAAGAUUCCAGCUAUUGAAGCUUAAAAUAAAAGAACAGAAGAAAAAGAUAGAGAGGUUCAAGUUGAUGGAAUCCAAAUCUUAUGCUGAUUCCAGUGAUGAUGACAUAUUUGCACAUAUAUCAUAUUCCACUUGAUCGAUAUACCAAUUCCUGAAAAAAGAAGAAGAUAGUGUUGUGUUAACCAGUUGGAAUGUCAUGAAAGCACUUACUUCCGAGACAGCCUGUCCUCGGCUAUUUCAUUAUCAAAAGGAAGUAUUGGCAAGGCUGUAACAUUACAUGCAGGUCCUAGCCUACGUUCGUUGGUUCAGAUCUACUCCUAGCAGUGAGAGCCGGAUAUGAAUACUAAUUUGUAGGCUACUUCGCAAUGAACACCAGAGCUAUAUGUUUGUUUAUUCACCUAGUUCCUAUGUCCGCCUUUUCCGCGCCCGCUCUAUCUCUAGAUAUAUCUCUUUAUAAUCCAUCUCAGAUAAGUAAUGGUAGUCUUGAUCAUCCCUAUCAUCUUCCUCUUCCCAGCCGUCUACGCGAAAACCAAAGAGAAUCAGAGAGCCGAAGGACCUCAAACAAAUAGCUGGUUGCGUUAAAGAGGCGUGGAUACUUGCAGGAGAUUGGAACACGUAUGCCGAUCCGACCGAGGCAGUCCAGGCAAAUGCAUGAAGUUGAAAAACAGGAUCGACGAAUGUAAGCUUCUCGACACACCACCCAGCCUAUGAAAUCCCUACCUACCAUUCCAAGACCCAAGUCUGUAAUUCCUACUGCCGUGCUCCAUUCGGAAAACAGGCCUUAGAACGCUAGUUACUCGACUGUGCCUUCAAGGAAGGUCUGGAACCUGAGAGGUGAGUUCUGAGAAGCCAACCGCAUUCAUUGGUUUUGAAAAAGAAGAAAGAAAGUAAAAAAGGCUUAAUUACUAAAUAUGGCUAUCUUUAACUACACCACUUUUUCCAACGUUGCUUUCCCUAGGACUUCGUUAUUCGCAAUUAGGAAGGGUGUAGAUGUACGCAGCUUCUCCUCAUGUUGUUGGCCGGAGUAAGGAAGAAAGCGUAGUAGUACAAUGCUGAACAUUCCGGAGCAAUGGAAGUUUAUCUUGCCGCUGUGUAAAGUGUCGCAUUCCCCUAUUCUUCGUCCGAUGCCGAAGCAUCUCCCUCUUAUUAGGGUAGGACCCCUGAAGAAAUUUCCAGAGAUAUACGAGAAGGCGCGAAGCGUGGAUGGAGUUUGCUUAGGGGAAAAGCAGUCCAACUAUGGGCUCAUACUAGUUUGGCAUUAACAUGCUUGGUAUUGGCAUCCCCCUGAAAGAAGGCUAGGCUUAUUCACCUACCUCUUCUUGCUGGAACGUGAGCUAUUGCUUUGGUCAACAACCAACGCUUGGAAAGUAAUAGUUCUAAGAAAGAGCAAACUGCUAAGCCUGAGAAGAAGAAUCAUAAAAAAUCAUAGAAUGCUAACAACCAGCUUCUUCCAGCUUUGUACAUCAUUUAUUGUAUCGUUUAUGGGUGCUUGUACAUCAUAAUAUCCUCUUCAUAUCUUUCCUUUCUCGAGUGAGUGGUGGGAUGGAUGUCCUACCACGAACGGAAGGUGACAGAGCAAUAUCUAUUCAUAUGCUUCGUAAUCCUUGAUUUCCCAAAGAUAAGAUUCCUUGUCAAGCCAAGACUCUUGAGUGGGAUAUUUCAACUACUUUAAAGCGAGGAGGUGAAUGAGCAAGCAAAAGGUAGGCUAGGCGGUCUCGCCCAUCCCAUGAUUGGUGGACUUCCUGCUAUUUCAGAGUAAGCAUCAGCAUCUCUUCCAUCUUGUUCUGGGCCAAGCAAACCAACUAUUUAGUCCAGGCACUCGUAUUGAAAUGGAAAACAUGCUUCUUUCUGCUAUCGACCAAUCCGGAUCCGAGAAUGAUCUGCCCCAUCGUUAUUAGUAAAUGUGGGGUGUAGUGCUGGAACCUUUAGUUCUGUGGGCGUACAAAGCAUGUGGCUUGUUUGACUUGACCUAUGGGAUGGGGGUACCAAUCUUCGUUGCAUUCAGGAUUGACCUGAGGAAUGGGCCGGAGUAUCAGAAUAGAUGUGCUUCGUGCGACUCGUUUCGACUAGCAUGAAAUCCGGAAUAACAAGAAACCCUUGUGCAAGUCGAUGAUUGAUUGCUUGAGAAACAGAAGUAUGACAUCUCUUUUUUCUCGUAUUACAACAACUAGGCUAUUCGGAUUGCUUUGCAUGCUAUUCUUCGAGUCGAAGCUUGUCCCACCUAAGUGUCGUGCUUCAUUCUCUACGGCAAACCUCAAAUCACUCAAAUAAAAAUCAUAAUAAUCGAGGCCCGAGGCUAGUCUUCAUUCUCGUAUCCCGAGGCGGCUUUCUCUAUCUUUAACCCGAGGCUAGUCUUCCUGGGGAGGAGUUUCUUGCCCGGUUCCUAGCUUUGGCUGGCAGGUUGAAAGUUGCGUAUUCAUUCAAUAGAAGCAGAUCCCUAAUCUCUAUUAGUAACCUUUGUAGGUCAUUGUUCUAUCAGGGUUUCGAGGGAUAGGGGCUGGCCGACCACCGAAUCAAGAGAAGCAUUAAGGAGAAGCAACUUAGAUUGAAGCUUUUCAGGUCGAUGACUUUAUAUCAAAAUUUAAUAUAACUUUUUAUGUUCGUCACAUUAGUAGUGACUCACUCCCUUACCCAAGUAAAGUCAUGAAAUACUUCUCUUUACUAGAUCCUGGAUCCUGGCUACUCUACUUACUAGAGCUAGAGCUCUACUCACUUCAGUAAGAACCUUCCUUCCGGUUGUCACAUUUCUAGCUAGUGAUAAAGAUCUCUUUCGAGUUCGGAGCAGGUAGGAUAGCGAAGCGAUUCAUACAUAGCCUUUCAAGGUAGUGGAACUGGCAAGUGUCUGGAUUGGAUGGACUUCCAUGCUUUGGCGAAACACUUCACUUAAUGAGUGAUGCCCAUUAUACUACAAACCUUUUUGAGAGAGGACUUUGCCAACUAGGAAGUCUGCUAUCCCAACCAAUCGACCAGGAUCGAGUGCACAAAUCGCAUGACCUAGUAUGAUAUAAAGUGCCUCCUUUGAGUGCAUCUAUAGAGCAUCCUUUCUGCAUCCUGCAUCUACUUCAGGAAUGGAUCAAAAUAGGUUGUCGGCGAAAGUAGUGGUAGUGGCAAGGUAUCCAUGGUUUUCUGUGGAAGUAGAGUAUCCACUUAAUUGUCUCCUGUAUCAUUCCUUUAGCUUGCGGAGGCCAGGUUGUAAAAACCAAUUAAUUGCUUUAGCAAAGAGUCUGGCUCGACUUCUUACCUUGAAAUGUGGAAACUUCCAUCUAGAUCGUCGUGGCAACUCCACUUCCCCACUCUUUCCGCUUUGAAGCGUUUCUCUUAAAGACAAAUGGGUUCUCUUUCUGUCUUCGUAUCUAGAAGCUAGAGAUAGGUUCAGUAGUAGGGCAUGGUUAAGUCCGUGUCAGAAUGAAGUCAGGGUUUCCGGGUGCCUUGUUGGAAUCUUACUCGUAAAAACUAGUGCCUUGUUGGAAUCUUGCUCGUCAAACUAUUAAUAUAUUGUAUUUAAACGUAUGCGAGGAUUGCUUUCUUCUUUCGUUCUCAAACUGAUCGAAUCAAUGGCCAGGAUAGGAAUGUUCCCUGAGAAGAGGGCAGGGCAGAGAAGAAGGCCGAGUAGAAAUACCUCCGAUCUCGAUUCCUUUCAUGUUUUGGUGCCGCUAGCCAUCAUUCCUCGUUUCUCGAGAAUCUCCGUUGAUGUCGUUUCUAGAGAAUGGCUUAAGUGUUGAACUUCUAAAAACCAUGGCCUUAUCCAAAUAAACUGGUGAAAGCACCAUCCUUAUCUAGAGAAAAUAAGUGACUUGAUUGACCCGUUUCCUUUCUGGGUCUGGUGAUGGUUUAGCUUCCGGUGUCCCAGGAUGUGGUAGUAUUUAUUGGUCCCCAACCAACCAUGCCUUGCGCCUAACUUGACUCUGCAGCCCUUGCUUCAAAGUAGCCAGCCGACGAAACCAAUGUUAGAGCCUGUAACUUAGGACAGAACAGCCUUGCCUUUCUUAAACAAAACAGGGAACUGCCUUUCCUUUCUCAAACAAACCUGUACUGGGUGAAUGAAAAAAAGGAAAUAGCUGGUUACUUUUGAGAGUACAGCUGCCGAAAUAGCUUCUUCCUGUAGGCGUUAGCCGAUUUAGUAUCAGAGGAGUACCUGUGAAGUCAAACUUUUGUCUGUAGCUCAACAAGUUCCGUUUUCUUGUAAUAAUAGAAGUUCAUUGCUGUCUCCAGAACAAGAUAAGUUUUUCCUUUACAAUGUUUUUUAUUACCAUACUACAGUACAACAGUAAGUUCUUUCUUCUGACCAGCCAGCGCUUUAACUAGUUCUACUCUCCCAGCCAGCUAUCCUUCUUCAAACUAGAGAGAGAGCUAUCCAUAUUCCUAUUCUUGUGACCUAUCCUUAUAUCUCGAGCACUACUUCUAUCACCGAUUUCUUACUUCUCUCCCAACUUUGCCUAACAACCCGAAUCUCUUUCCUGUAGCUAGUCGCUGAUAGUCAGUCUAUCUCCUUUCCUUGCAAACUCUCUAAGCUUUAGGUAGUUCGCCAUGCGAUGGGCCUGAGGAUCUAUUCCAAAGGGUGAUGGGUCGUGGGUACGACUCUUCAGAAGGUGCUUUUGCCAACCACCGAGCACCAACAAAUGAAGAGAGUUACCACAAGUAUGAGACCACUAAAACUACUUCGCCUGCUUUGAAUCAGAGCAAACUGCUUUUAAGUAUAAGACCACCAAUCUAGUACGCAACCAUUGCCUAUUAUGACAUUCAUAUUGUUGACUUUCACAGACCCACUAUGACUGCCUACGCCCAUAUAGAUAGAGAAAAGUUCACCUAAGGAUAAUAAAACGUUUGAGGAAGGUUACCGCUUACGAUAUACCUAUAUAUAGAUAGUGUAGUGUUGUAGUGUGUUAAGUAGAUCGGUCCCAUAUAAAGUUGCAAUGUAUCUGCAAUGAGUUCAUCUACUCUGGGGUGUUCUCCGCACUUCUCAAGAAAGAAACAGUUGGAAAUUCCCCGGAUCGUCUGCACUUGGCUUGGUAUUCUUAUACUGAAUCGCUGUUGGAUAAAAGAAAGCAUAAAGUUUUUAAGCCUGCGUUCUCAUUGGCGAAACCACUAGGAGGCAACCAUGAAAGCGGUUUCUAUGUUUCGAUCGAACCAACACAGCUUUACGCUUCUUUCCAACUCUACCCACGCUUCGGGUUCGCACUUACUUUACGCCUUACCGAACUUGGGCUUAGUUCAGCCAGCUUCGUAACAUGCCUGCUCAAAGUGAGUAGUUGGAAGUUCCUGUAAGCAUGUUCCCAUGAAUUGACAUAUAUAAGCGUAGUUAUCAGGUACGCCGUGAGCUGGAUUCUAUCCCCGAGGAUAGAGAUUGAUGGGUAAUAGUUUUGAUAGAAAACUCUUAUGUUAAGUUCUCUAGUUGAUGUGAUGCGACUCGAUUCAUCAUUGCUCUCACAUCAAUGUUUUCGGUUCCCUUUUUACUCUCCCAUUUUCAUAGAGAAAGAUGUUCUGAUUCAGUUCUCUCUGAAAAGGAAGACGGGGCCCUUAGGGACACAGUAGUACCAUUUCCAUUGUGCGAAAGGUCGUGUCCUGGUAGCCUCUCUGCUGUAGACGGUCUCAUUGGUAAAUUCUUCCAUUUCUGAAAUUGUAAAAUCGAGAUUGUGUGGGUGUUCAGUCUACUCUACCGCUCAUGAAAAACAAAAAUAUGAUUUAACAAUGUUUCUGGAGUAUGAUACAUGAACAGGUACCUUCGGACUUAGGUCAAAACUACAGUGUGAAGAAGCACAAAACAAUACGAAGGAUGGCGUAGAGCCGAAGCUAUGUGCAGGGGAGCUUCGGCGUGAUAACAGAAAAGGGAACCGACUUAAAGGGGAAAAGGCUAUUUACACCCCGAUGGAUUAUUAUAGAGUUAUUAGCAAAUGUAAAGAGCAUGGGUGUAAUUUUACAUGGGCUGCGUCCCGUGCCUAUAAAAAGAUGAACAUUGCUCUCGUACUGUUCAUGCUGACUUGGCAUUUGCUUUUGCGUUACGCUUGUACUUUUACCUUCUUUCAAGCCGAAGGUACUUUUGUAACUUGUUAUCAUUUCUAUUUUUCCUUAAUAAUAAAAUAGAAAUGAGUUGAUGGUAAUAAAUAGCUGUUUGUAUUAUCUUUUAUAUUCCAUAUGUUUCUUUCCUCGUUUAUAUGUUGCUUUGACGAAGGUACGUCCUUCACAACCUUCGUCCGAAAAUCAUUAUCUCUCAAGGGAAAUAAUGCUUCGAAGGACGAAGGACUUUAACGUUUAACAUUCUCUGUGUUGCCUUGUUCUUGACUCAUAGCAUUUGAGAACAAGUCUCCAACAAGUACCCUACCCUAAGAUUAAACACUCUUCAAGUCACAUCAUCACAAAUUGUUUGAAAAUUUUACCUAGUGAAUGCAUUCUAGGUGUAACUUUUCCAAUCAACCUUAAUCUGAAUAUAAUUAUAAUUUGGCUAAAUAAGAUCUCUAAUCAAUAUAUAAUUUAGAUUGAAAUUGAAUUAACUAUUGCUUAGAUUAUAUUUCUCACAUGAUUUAUAAAUCAAUCUAAGACAUAGUAUUAAUUAUUGAAUCAUGUAAAUCUUCCGAGAAUCAUAGCUCUUUGACCAUAACUUCGAUUUUAGUAAUUCUUAAACCCACGACCUCGUAGCGACGCAUAGAUCAUUAUUAUGUAGUUUGUUCCUAUGUUUGGUGUAAUGUUAUUUUUUUCUAUACCAUGUUUGUUUGUAUUGCUACAAUUGCAGUGAGGUCACAGGAAUCUGAAGAUCAUCCUAGUAACUGGGAAUCUCAAGUCUCAAGCAAGUUGUUCACUUGAUCACUUUUCUUUACCCAAUAAUGUUCUUGUUAAUCACUGUGACAUGCUCACGUUAAUCUGAUGGGACCUAAUAGGCUUCCGUAGACUUGUUUAUCUCACACCUUGUUUACCACUGGACUUUUGGGUAGUUAUGCUAUUGCUCUAUCUAGUUUUGGGAUUAAUAUUACAUUAUGAUCAUGUUCCAAUUAUACUGUUGUUUAAUUAUUGUUCAUGACAAGAUCAUUGUGUUAAUUGGAACAUGGAGCUUAACUUGAGAAACACGUGCUACCACAAGAGUGGAAUGGGACGCUCUUGGCUGACUAAUUAGGAAAGCUAGUGGAGGACUACCUUACCCGAAAGGGGCAAGGGCAGUAGGGUAGUUACGUAUAGGGAGGUUCUCCGGUCGACCAUGCUGCAAUGGCCUUUCGAACAAGGGAUUCCUUUAUUGCCGUCCCUAGAAACUGUAGCGGAUUUUCUGAAGCUAAUGGAACUUUGUAAAGGCCUCGUAGUGGAUUCCUAGCCAUUCACCUCAGAAGUGUCUAAGGGUCUAACUAACCCUAGCUAGUCGAGAUACACGACUUGUGGGUAAAGGGCGCGACAAAGUGUAAAACUGGUAUAUCAGCAGUGCUCGCGGUCAUGAGCAACUCAUGACUCUCGCAUGAUUAAUUUAUGGAACUAAACUUAAUUUGUCAUUUCCAUUGCAUCAUGGGUGGUGUUAUCAAUUUUGAUCACUUAUUUAAUUGGGUUGGUAUCUACUUAUACUUAGUAACUACGAACAAAAUUUUGACCAACUUUAAAAGCAAUGCUCAACUUUAACCAUCUCCUUUGGUAAGCCUUACACUUCACAUGAGCUCCCACCUUUGGUGAGUUCAUGCACAUUAUUCCCCACAACUUGUUGAGCGAUGAACGUAUGUGAGCUUAACCUUGUUGUACUCACAUCCCCCAAGUCAAGGACAGGUACCACUAGAUGAGGCACAUGAAGGAUGUUGUGAUGAGUUUGUGAGUGGUCUAGGCCACCGUCCCCCAGUCAACUUAGGUUGCUAGAUCGUUGUCUUUGUAUAAUGUAAUUAUUUAUCUAUUUUGUACAGAACUCCAUUAUAUAGUAAUGAUGUAACAUUCAUUUUUGUACCAUGAGUCAUCAUAUGUGUGAGACUUGAUCCUAGCACACUUGGUGAUAAGUCCGCGCCCGGGUUUGGUGCCCCUAAAAAAACCCGGGUGUGACAGAUAGUUACCCAACCACAACCGGAGAUGAAUCCUCCUCCGAAUCCUCGACCGGCUAGGACAGAUCUUGUAGCUGCUGCUCAAAUGCAACUACUGUAGCAGAUGGCUAACACCAUGAUGGAAAUGCAAGCACAAAUCCGUCAAGAGCGACAAGAGAUGUGUCAGGAGCGUCAGGAAAUCCGUUAAGAACGGCAGGAACGACAGCAACUACCACCUCCACCACCACUAGCUCCACCCUGGGACAAGCCCCGAGAAUUCAUGAGUCACAAGCCACCCACCUUCUCCAGCUCUCUAGAUCCUCUUCAGGCAGAUGAUUUGCUGAAGAUAGUGGACAAAAUACUCAACAUUGCUUAGUGCACCGAUUGGGAGAAGGUCCUCUACGUAUCAGGUCGCCUCACUGGCCCCACUGCUGACUAGUGGGACUCAUAUUGUGUUUCUCAUGCUGCUGCUAACACCAUUACUUGGGCAAAGUUCUCUACUCAUUUCACGAAUUAUCAUAUUCAUGCUGGUCUGAUGAAGAUAAAAAAGAAGGAGUUCUUGUCACUCAAGCAGGGAACAUGACAGUGAGUGAAUACACAGAUAAAUUCAUUCAGCUGUCAAGAUAUGCUCUAGAGGAGGUCGCUGAUGAUGAGAGGAAACAUAAGCAGUUUCUGGAGGGACUUAUUGGACCACUCCAGUACCAGCUGAUGUCUCACACCUUUCCAUCUUUCUAGAGGGUUCAAGAGAAGGCCAUUGCACUGGAACACAAACGUGUUCAACUUGGCGAGAUGAAAAGGAGGGCCAUCACCCAGGGCUAGGGGAGAAGCAGCAUCCGCCCUCGCUUUGCUCCAUUCAAGGGUACACCAGCUCGUUCUAAAGGAGGACAACAAUCGCACUAGCGUCCUGCUCAGUAGACACCUCAGGCCACCACUCAGACUCUACGCCCUUGUCAGGCUGCCCCCACUGGCACCUCGGUGAGACCUAUUGGCCAGAACACCGCUACGGUCACCACCUACUUCAAGUGUGGUGAGGAUGGGCAUUAUUCCAAUGCUUUUCUUAAGAGGAACCCCAACACACCAGCUCGAAGCAAUGCUUAGGGCAAGCAGCAGACUCUAGCUAGCAACAAGGGGUUUAGUAUUGCCACAGUCAAUCGGAUCAGUGUUGAGGCUACCGCUGAUGGUGCUCACAUUUCUAUUGGUACAUUCUUUAUUAAUUUAGUUCCUGCGACUAAAUUAUUUGAUUCUAGAGCUACACACUCGUUCAUUUCUGCUCGUUAUGUCAAUACACAUGAGUUAUCUCUUCACACUAUGCAAAAACCCAUGGUAGUAAUCACCCCUAAAGGGCAUAUUGAAGCAAAUUUUAUGACCAACAAAUUAACAAUAACAAUCAUGGGGAGGGAGUUCUGGUCCAUGCCUAUAGUGCUAGAAGAGAGCAGUAUAGAUCUGAUUCUUGGCAUGUCAUGGUUGAGGAAAACAAAAGCAGUUACAAAUUGUGCUAAGGGAAUCGUAGAACUCACUAGUCCAAAAGGAGAGAUAUUUGAAGUCAUGAUUACCUUAAACCCAUCCACCAGACCCGCCAUUUAUCUAGUAGAUGAUAAAUUUGUGGGCACACAUAUCCGUGGUUAGAGAAUUCCCAGAUGUUUUUCUAGAGGAGUUAUCCAGAAUGCCUCCAGAUAGGGAUGUUGAGUUUGUUAUUGAUCUCUUACCUAGGACCACUCCUAUUUCUAAAAGGCCAUACAGAAUGACAGUGGAAGAUUUCAAAGAACUAAAGAAACAACUAACAGAGUUGCAGGAGUCGGGAUAUAUUCGUGUGAGUUCCUCACCUUAGGGAGCAUCGAUUAUGUUUGUUCAGAAGAAGGAUGGUUCCCAAAGGAUGUGUGUGGAUUACCGAUCACUUAAUGACGUAACAAUUCAAAAUAAGUACCCCUUAACAUGUAUUGAGGAUUUAUUUUAUUAGAUGAGAGAUGCCAGGAUAUUCUCUAAAAUUGAUCUCAGAUCGGGUUAUCAUCAGAUGAAGAUCAGGCCUUCUGAUAUUCCCAAGACGGAUUUCUCUACCCAAUAUGGGCUAUAUGAGUUCACUGUCAUGUCGUUUGGCAUGACUAAUGCACCAUCCUACUUCAUGAAUCUAAUGAACAAGGUGUCCAUGGAGUAUCUUGAUAAGUUCAUCGUGGUAUUCAUCGACGACAUUCUGAUUUAUUCCAAGAAUGAUGGAGAUCAUGAGGAGCAUCUACGGUUGUAUUACAAAAGUUGAGGGAUAAUCAACUCUAUACCAAGUUUAGUAAAAGUGAGUUCUGGCUUGAUGAUGUACCAUUUCUUGUGCAUAUUAUCUCCAAUAGUGGAAUAUCAAUGGACCCGGCUAAAGUAAGGGACAUAGUAGGAUGGAAGAUAUCGAUUUCAGUCACUGAAAUCUGGAGUUUCCUAGGACUCGCUGGUUAUUACCGACGCUUUAUUGAGGAAUUCUCCAAAAUAGCAAAGCCUAUGACCUCACUUCUGGAGAAAGGAAAAGAGUUUAAGUGGACGCACGCUUGCUAAGAAAGUUUCAAUCAGCUGAAGUUUAAGUUGAUGUCACCUUUAGUAUUGGUAAUGCCAGAUCUACAGAAGGGAUUUGACAUAUACUCUGAUGUGUGUCGUCUAGGCUUGGGAUGUGUUCUUAUGCAAGAAGGACAUGUCAUUGCCUACCUGUCUCGCCAGUUGUGAAAACAUGAGCUGAACUACCCCACUCAUGCUUAGAACUGGCAGCCGUAUUGCAUGCUCUCAAGAUAUGGAGGCAUUAUAUAAUGGGGACCAAGUCAAAGUCUAUACUGAUCAUAAGAGCUUGAAGUAUAUCUUUACCUAGAAAGAUCUUAACCUUAGGCGACGCCGUUGGUUAGAGCUCAUCAAUGAUUAUGACUUGGAGAUCCACUAUCACCCGGGCAAGACGAAUCUGGUUACGGAUGCCUUAAGUCAGAAGGAACAUGUUCAUGCAGCUAUAAUCACCCAGCUACCUAAUGAGUUAGUAGAAGACUUUGAAAUGCUCAACUUCGGAAUAGUUGCACAUGCUAAAGGAAUCACUAUAGAAGUAGAACCUACCUUGGAGUAAGAGAUACGCAAAGGUCAGAUCGGAGAUGCCAAAAUUCAAGAGAUCAAAGAUCUGAUGGUAGAAGGUAGAUGUCCAGACUUCACGGAGGAUGAACAAGGCACAAUCUGGUUCAAGGACAGGAUAUGUGUUCCUGAGAUUGACAGCCUCCGUGAAACCAUACUGAAGGAAGCCCAUGAUUCAGAUUAUUCUAUUCAUCCUGGUAGUACCAAGAUGUAUCAGGAUAUGAAACAGAAGUAUUGGUGGUAUGGUCUGAAAAAGGAUGUCGCUGCACAUGUGGCAUUAUGUGAUGUAUUUCAAAGGGUAAAAGCUGAACAUCAGAGGAUAGAUGGAUUGCUACACCCGUUAAAGGUACCCUGAUUGGAAGCGCGAAGAAAUUGGUAUGGAUUUCAUAGUCGAGAUACCUUGCACCCUGAAAGGUUAUUGUUGGGGGCAUUUUUCUCUGUCGAAGGUCCUCUAAGCAAAAGCACCUUCGGCAGGACGAUAUGCAAGCAGAUACGACAUGAAGAUAUAUGCCGAAGCUACAAUUGAAAGAGCUUCGGCAUGAUGGCAUGCUUAAGACGAAGGAUGGCACCGACUUAAAAAGGAAAAGACCACAUAGUCCCUGAUAAUUUGUAUUAUGAUUACGAUUAGUUAUCAAGGACACAAAUGUAAUUUUGUCCGGGCUGCGUCCUGUGCCUAUAAAUAGAUGAACAGUACCACGUACUGUUCACGCUGACUUGUAAUCACUCACGCGUCACUCCUGUUUUCCUACCUUCUGUCAAGCCGAAGGUACAAAUAUAA
rnacentral:lncRNA from 1 species